UUUUUUUUUUUGUAAUUUUGGUACCUGACAACAUCUAAAAUAUUUAUUAUUUUUUCUUGAUUUAUUAUGUCAAUUGCCUACAAUCAAUUAAUGAAAAAGAAAGAUUUUUGGUAAUGCAAAUCUAAAAAGUUAAUUUAUUUGAUUAGCCUUAAUGUGAUUACAUGUAAUAUUAUUUUUCCUCUUGCACUCAGACCUUAAAAAAAUACUAAUAGAAUUAUCCAAUUAUCGAAAGAAUUAUUUUCUUGAGCUAGAAGAGGUUAGGUAGUUAUCCAAUUUUUUUAUUAUCUUUUUUUUUUCUCUUUUCUAUCUUCUAUUAUUGAUAUAUUUUUAAUUAUUAUUAUUUAAAUAAAAAAUAUUUUAGUUACAUAGGAUCCUCAUCUUUUAUUGUCGUUUUUUCAUUAUAAUUGAAAUAUUAAAAUUAUUUUUUUAUAUUUUUUUAUUGAUAAAAUUAAUAUUAUUAUGAUAAAAUAAAUUUAAAUAUUUAGAUCGAGAAAAUAUUUCGCGACUAUCAAAUAUAUCAGAAAAUGUUACCAGAUUGAUAUUAACUGAAUGUAUAUAAGCUCAAGACACAUAAGUACUCUAACCAACUUGUCAUCCAUCCAUAGAGACCAAUAGAAAUUAAAUAAAUAUUAAAAAAACAAAGUACAUGCUCGAACUAAUCGAUUCAUUUCAAUAUGAAUAAUUAAAGCAAUUCGAUUUUUUUUAUUUAUUUAGAACAUCAAAUUCUAAUUUUCUUAAUAAUUAUAGAAAUAUAAAAUAUAAAUAUUAAAAAUGAUAAAGAUGCGAAUGCUAAAAUUAAUUAAGGAGGGGAAUUAGCCCGUUGUUCUGCCGUUCCAGUUUUCCUAACUCCUUUCCCCUUCGAAGAGAGUUACUGGUUCGCCAGAAGCAAGACUAUGGCCGGAGGUGGGAUAUUGGGAGGGGGCAGAUCCUCCUGGGGAUACGGCCAUCCGGCGGCUGCCCGUCAGAUCGGUGGGCGGUGGUGGCAGCAGGAGGUGAAGCGGAGGGAACGGUGGCUGGUGGGCCUGGGGAUCGUGCUCCACGCUGUCUACAUGCUUAGCAUCUUCGACAUCUACUUCAAAACCCCCAUUGUCCACGGCAUGGAUCCCGUCCCCCAGCGCUUUUCCCCGCCCGCCAAGCGCCUCGUCCUCCUCGUAGGUGCGGGCGCCCUCCUCUCAUUUCUGGAUCGUGGUGAUGAUGUCUGCCAUCGUUCUUAUUGAUUCCCGAUUGGGGUUUGGAUCUUGAGCUUUGUUCCAGCUGAUGGAUUGCGUGCGGACAAGUUCUUUGAGCCAGAUUCGGAUGGACGGUUCAGGGCGCCGUUUCUAAGGAGCGUGAUAAAGGAGAAGGGGCGCUGGGGAAUCUCGCAUGCCCGUCCUCCGACGGAGUCGAGGCCUGGGCACGUUUCCAUCAUUGCUGGGUUCUACGAGGACCCGAGUGCAGUCACAAAAGGUGUGACAUGUUCUUGAUAGGGUUUAUUACGUUUUUCGAGCUAGAAAAUGAUAUGUGGUUUUUUUGUUGUUGUUUUGAUGGCCUUAGAACUCGGGACAUAAUUCCAUUAAGCUGGACAUUACCAUUAUCCUAAGCAUCUGAAUCUUGAACAACCUAAAUAGAACUAUUGAUCACCCAGCUUUUGCUUUUAGGGUGAACAAUUCAGUGCAUUCAUGUGAUACAUAGCACAGUGAUGGGUCUUUCUUAAUCAUGUUUUGCAGUGGAUAGUCAGCCACAAAAUUCUAUGGUGUAUUAAUGGAGCAUAGAAUAAGUGCUUAUAAAAUUAUUUUUUGCUGUUGAAGCAGAGUAGCAGAAAAAGUCAGUAGAAGAUGAUAUUUUAAAGCAUCCGCGGCAAUUAAAUGCACAAGUAUAACAAAUGAUGCUGGAUAAUUUUGCUAUAUCUUGACUAGCUUUAUUUGUCUAUCUUGACCACCAUACAAAUUACGGUGGUGGUCCAAGUCUUGAAAUGAACCAUUGAGUUCAGACUUAGAGCUUUGUGCCUUGAAUAGUUAUCAGCCACUGAGAGGUCUUUGUAGCUUCUGCGCAUGUAUAAUCUUCUUGGAUACUUUGUGACAAAAUAUUCUUGGAUAAUCUUUUGACUCUCCUAUUAGGUAUGCACCACUAUCGGGUAAGAAGUUUAAGUUUUAAUUGCCAUGAGUUAUGAUAAAUUGUUACCUAGUUGACUCGAAAGGUCCCUCAAGAUAAUCUUUUUUGCAUAGUCACUCAAGAUUUAACUUUUUUGCAUCACUGCCAAAUGUAGGACUUCCUUACUUUAUCUUUGACCUCUUUGAUAUCUAGAUUUUGAUGCCACAACUAUAAAAUUGUGGGUUAACCUAUUGGUUUGAAGAUGUUCUAGAACCUAGAAAGGUUGUAAUCAAUCAAUUAUGGAUUAGAUAAAGGAGUACUAGAAAGCUGAAAUGGAACAUUUUUUUAAUGGAUAAAACAAGUUUAGACUAAGAUAAUAUAGCAUCUUUUUUAAAUAUGACAAAAAAAAUUUGUGUUUUAUGCGCUCCUCUCUCAAGUUGAAUCAAGGAGGUUCUAGCUGUAUAAAUUUCAUAUACAGAUACCCAGCAGCUACAAUUAGUUUCAUAUGUCAGAUAUCCUCAGCUAUGAUAAAUUUAUGGUAAUUUCAUUUUUCUAGAGAUAACAAAAAGAGAUUUGCUUGCUCUUAUUUUGACGAGCGAUGUUAUUUUAAAGAUCAGGCCUAGGAAGAUCCAUGUAGCCCAUCCCAAAUGGCUGAGACAUUUUGGCUGGUUGUUGUUGAAGUUAUUUUCUGUGGUUUACAUUUGGUCAUCAGUCAUUAUCCUAGGAUUAUUAAAGUCAGUUUAUCUGGUUUGAACCUGACAAGCUUCUUGCUAAAACAAUUUUAAGGUAGGAGUGGUGUUCUGUUUGUUUGUUAGAUAAAGAGCUAUCUUCUGUUAGUAUUACUGCAUACACUUAAAAGAUUUUGUUGCUUGUGUAGUUUCUCAAUACUAGACUUGGAACACCUGAUCGAAUGUUUUAUGUUAAUCACUUACGUUUUGUGUAAUACAGAAUGUCCUUGAAAUAUUUUCUUAGGUGUAUAUUUUGUCCUGUUUUGCAGGGUGGAAAGCUAAUCCUGUUGAGUUUGAUUCGGUUUUCAACCGAAGUCGCCAUACCUUUGCUUUUGGGAGUCCUGAUAUCAUUCCUAUAUUCUGCCGAAGUGUGCCUCACAGCACCUGGGCGACAUAUCCUCAUGAAUAUGAGGACUUUGCUUCGGGUUAGGACAACUGACAUUAACUUAAGUAGAAUCUUACUCUUACUCUAGCCCUUUUGAAUUUCUGAAUUAACACAUGCAGCUUUCUUCCGCAUUUUUAUGCUAAAAUGAUCAAAUUUUUAGGUUUUAUAGCUUUAAUAUUAAGCAUUUUAAAUCUGAGCAUCUUAUUGGUUAAUGUAACAAUCUUGAUUUAAAAUGGAAGUUAUUCAUCUUUAUGCCAAAAUAUUUAAGAUUUUGAUCCCAACUGACCUAUCAGCACAACAGCUUGCAUGUGAUUGCCUUAACAACAUGGUCCAAAGUGCACCCCAAUUCUUAGUAGUAAGCUAUUAAUUCCGUAUAUACAAGUCCAACUGUCCAACUGUCCUGUUCAAGUGCUUUGGGUGUUAUACCUAGCCUUUCAAGUCCUAAUUCCUCUAUUAGAAUAUAACAUGUAGCUCAGAAGCAACAAAAAGUUGGAGUAAUCUGGGAUUCUAAGGUAAACAUAUUACAAAUAUUAAUGCACUCAGUGGCCCAUAGAGUUUUUUGCUUGUAAGACCUGAUAUAUAAUCUGUUGGAGUAGACCUAACAAUGUGGCGAAGAUGCUGAAGGCCUAGUGAUUGCUGUUAGGUCACUACUUGGUAGUAAAGAACUAUAAACUCCCAGAUUGGGUGAUCUCAUUGGAGUCACUUUGCCUUUUAAGACGAGUAGCUUCUAUUGUCUCAUGGAAACUUGUUGCAGUUCCAUUCUUUAAAUGUUAAUAUUUUACUAAGAAAAUUUUAAAAUGCAUGAUUCAUUAUGCUAAAUGCAUGCUUGAUAAUGUUGAAUUUGCUUGGAACUUUUGAUAGAUCAAUCAAAAGAUGGGAAAUCUCAUAAGCAUACUUUUGUUAUGUUCUAAUAAUUACUUUAAAGGUACAUCUUUAUGUAGAGGUUUCUUUUGUACAAGUGUGUUGGUUGUUGAUCCAUAAAUUUGGUCAUCAAAUUUCAAACUGCUUGUAAGAUGAAAAGUUGGUGUAUGUUGACUGAUCCCAUAGAAUGGUGGUUAGAGGGUCAAGCUAUUGAUUAAGAAUAAAGAACAAGAUCAAGAGGGAGGAAGUAUUGACUGAAAAGAAGCAACAAAGGACUAUGAAGAAAAUAAAAUGACUGAAUAAGAUGUCAAAACCAAGGAUUUUAAUUUCGAAUGAUACCGCUUGUAUCGAGCGGUAUGUAUCGAUCCGCCAGCAGAUCAGUACGCGGAUCGCCCGCUACCGGGCGGUACCAUCGAUUGGGGCUAUUUCCGUGCCGUUACCACAUGAAAUCGGUCAGUGAUGAUGGAUUUCGACUGUCGCCGCUCAGUAGCGACCGUCACCGCCCGCUACCGGGCGGUAUUAGCCGAGGUAGAAGGAAGAAGAGGGAGAAAAAAAGGGAGAACUUGGAGAUCCGGCGUCGCCCUCCCUCGAUAAUCCCGAUUCGUCGCUGCCCUCCCUCGUUGGACAUGGCAGAUGAGAUGUCGCCUCCUCCUCAUUUGAGGCAACGAGGGCUCAGCGUUGUCGGUGACUUCUCCUCAUCCGUGCAGGGAGAAGCUUCGUGGGGAAAAGAAACCGAGCAGAAGAAAUGAGGCACGACAUCGCUUUUUUUUUCGCUGGGAGAAGAAACCUCACGACGAAAUGAGGCAAUGUUUCUUCUCCCCACGCGGGCGGAAGAAACGAGGCGACGCCGCCCCUUUUUUUAAACUUAUUAUACACACACACACACACACACACACACACACACCCCGAGUGGUAUGUUAGAACGUACCGCUCAGUAUACUUGUAUCGUACUAUACCAAGCUGAGUUCGAUACUCUGGUUCGGUACGAAAUUACAAACCUUGGUCAAAAUAUAAAUGUAAUAUUAAUAUACUUGAACAACAAAAGAACAAAAAAGAGAAAACAAGAUGGGAAGUAAGAAGAGAAAUUGAAUUAGUGAAUUGUCUUACAAUAAAAGAUAUGGAGGUUGGAUUGAUGUGUCUUUUGCCUGAUCAACAAGAUAAAGAGUGCAUUUCAUUGUGCCCUAGGCAGGUUCAAUGUAACCCUGACCCUUGCAUGCGGAAUGACUGUUUCUAUGAUUUGAACCCUAGUCAUGCAGGUUGCAAAAUAUGGUGCAAUAUGAUUUGUGCUUUACAUACAUUGCCCAAUAGUAAGUUGAGUUAAGGAUUUUAAUUUUGACUCUACCAAUCUGUAUAGAUUGGUAUUUACCAGUCUGAUGAUCGAUUGGAUUGUGGACUGGGCAAUCUCACCUUGUCUUUACUGGUUGCAUCCAAUAGCAAGUUACUUUUCUGCAUUUAUUGGUAAAACCACAAAAAUCCGACCCUUCUGAGAUUCUCAUUGUUGGGAGCCCUUUGCAUUGAGUUGAAUUCUAAAUGCAUGAGGGUCUUGAGUCCUGCUACGCAUGUUCCAGAAAGGUCAGAUGUUUUAUGGGUUUACCAAUAAAUGUUACUUUCUGUGACUCAAAGCCUUGGCAUGUAGGUUGAGUUAAGCAAUGGAUUUGAAUGAUGUAGAUCUGAUGAAGUUACUAAUUUUGAUGCCAUCUAAUUAACUUCAUCUCAAGUUACAACAUUUUAGUACUUUAAUCAUGUAAGUGUGCAGGUUGUUUUGUGUAAUUGAUCAGAAAUUCUUGUUAUUGUUCCAACUUCCAACCGUGAGAGAUCGUUAUUAUCUUUAUGUGAUUGCCAAUUUAUAUCAAGUUGCUUAGCAUACAAGAACAAUGUUUAUAAUUCUUUUUGAGUUCUGUUGCAGAUGCAUCCUUCCUUGAUCAGUGGUCAUUUGAUCAAUUUCACAGCCUUCUGAAUAGGUCUCGCAAUGAUCCUAAAUUAAGGCAGAUGCUCCUACAGGAUAAAUUGGUCAUAUUCUUGCAUUUACUUGGUUGUGAUACAAAUGGCCAUGCACACCGGCCUUACUCAUCCAUUUAUCUUAGCAACGUUAAGGUCGUUGAUAAAAUUGCAGAAGAUGUCUACAAUCUCUUGGAAAACUAUUUCAAUGACAAUCAGACGGCUUAUAUUUUUACAGCAGACCAUGGAAUGAGUGAUAAAGGUUUGCGUGAAUAUUUAUGCACUCUCCACUUUUGCUUUUAUAUGUUCAUUUGAUCUUAUGGCCUCGUAUAUUAUGCUUUUGUUGUCUAAACAAGUGCAAAAAGUCGUACCAUGUUCGUACAAUGGCAUAGGCAUUAUAUUGACUGUGUGAUAUGCUAACCGUUGACCAACAUGGCACCAUGCUGCACAGAUGACAUCUUAGAUUCAGAUCAUAGGACAUAGCAAUAAACUGGGUAAAAAUCAUUAUUGCCAUAUUUAUAUCUGGAGCAGCUGUGAACGAUCAAUUAAUAGCUAGAUGAGAUUUUGAACUCCAUAUUAAAUUGAAGUAAUUCUACAGCAAUUUAUAAUGAUUUAUCAUUGCAUUUAAUUUAUUAUUCUAAACUUGUAUGGAUAGAUGUAUAUUCUGGAAAUAUUAUUUUUUUCAUAAUAGAACUAGUAGAUAUAUUCAUUUUAUUAAAAUUUAUCAAUAUAAUAGAUGUAGCUGAUAUGUGACGUGAACAAAGAAUCAAUUGAUGCAAACUUAUCUUUCUAGUGGUGUGUAAUAUGGAGUCAUGGACAAUUGGAAACUGUAGUAAUAGGUAGAUAAGUGUCCAAAGUUUAUGAUAUUAUGGAGUAUUUGUUUCUCAAAAACAAAUUUUAACAAAAAUAAAAUAGAGCAAAGUUCGUCUUAUCGGUUCGUACUGAUGUACUGACCAACCGUCGGUAUGGUACGAACGGAGGCGUACCAAUGUACCAUAUGUUGGUACGCCUAGGCGUACCAAUGGUAAGAUAAAAUUGCUGAAAAUAACUCUAAAAAUUCCAAAAAAUAGAAAACAAAGUUGGGUUAGGGUUUCUAAUUUGGAAAUAAAUAUAAAUUUAGUAUAAUUUUAGCAAAAACAAUCUAAAUUAAGAAAGAAUAGUGACAUAUCUUUUUUGAGUUUUGUGGAGUAACUUUAUGGUAUGUUCUGGAUCUUCUAUUAAUAUUGAAUUAUCUACAAAGAAAUAAUUUGAAUUGUUAGAUUAUUUUUUAAACAAAUUAAACUUUAAAAUUCAAAUGAAUUAAGUAAUUAAUCGAUGGAUAUAUCUGGUUUUACCACCAAAAAGAACGACGGGACUUCACGGGUGGUGAAUCGAGUUCCUCGAUCCUAUGUAUCUAUAUAUUAAUUUGAUAUAUUUGUUGAACCAAUCCUAAAAAUGAUUUCAUGAGACCAUUGACUCGCCAGCAUCGCCGCCAUCAUUAGUCGAGGCACUGUUGUCCAUGUCGUUACUAUGUCUAUGGACCGAGCGGGUUGUUGAAUAUGGUCGAGAAGGUGUCUAUCACCCGACUCGAUUCUUUCUAGUGGUGCGGUUAAUGAUAUUGCCUGUCCCUUUGCCUUUGCCUUUGCACAUUGGACAAACAAUUGUGGCAGAUGAAAGGGUUUAAAAACCCUUUCCUAUGGUUCAAACAGUCAAAUUGACAGUUUGAAGUAGAGCAAUCUGAGCCCUUGAUCGAUAGCAGUCGAAAUCCGACCAUUACCGAUCGGUAUAGAUCGGUAAUAGUUGGAUUUCGAUUGUUACCAAUCGGUACAAAUCCCAUAUCGCCCUAUACGGGGUCAUGUAGCUAAUGGGUACUGCUCGGUAGAGGGCGAUCCAUGUACUGGUUCCCUGUCGGAUCGAUAUAUACCCCCCAUAUCGAGCGGUACAGCUCAUAACAACGAACCCUGAAAUGAAGUACAAACGAGGUGAUUAAAGUGGAGAGAAACUUUGGGAGUAUCUUGUGAUUGACAUGCUUUAUGGAUAAAGAGAAAAAAAUAAGAUACUCCUAAGAUGUCAUGCUUUAUGGAUCUUAAUGUUUCGUCGGGUAGUUAGAAAACUAUAUCUUACAAAAAUUAGUGUAGCUUACAUAAGAACAUUAAGGUGGAUUAUAGAAUUACUACAAAGAAUAAAAAAUGUCAUUACAGAGGUUAUUAUUAAUGUAAACCAUUUAAGAUGAUAACGUAUUCAAAGAAGAACUCUAUGUGCUAUGGUUAGACACAAUGAGUCCAUUAGAACUACUGGUGUGAGGAGAGUUUGAUGGAUAUUUAAGAAAACUUUAUUAGAAACAAAGAAAUGAUUCAUUACUUUUAAUUUAAUAGAAACACAACCCUCCAUAAAUCUCUAUGAUGCGAAAAGAAAGGUGUAGCUAAUCCCAAAUAAUUGCAACAUUGUGGGCUUGUGGCUUGUUGUUAUGGUUGAACUAAAAGCUACACUAUGUCAAACAUGGCAAGCUUUGUAUCUUAAUAUGGUUUAAGACAUUUAUAAUAAUUCUAGAAAAUAAAACAAUUUUAGAAUUAAUUUAUCAAUCAUCAUUAAUUCAUUAUACUACUUUAGCAUUAUUUAUACUACUAUAACAUGAUCUGUCCAAUUUUUUACCUUUAAAAAAUCAAUAUUAUUCUUGGGCUAUGAAAUGUGACAUUUAGAAUAUUUGAUCGUACCUUUGUAAUAAUUAUAUUACAACAAGGCCAUAAAAUCUCAAAUAAGUUAUAUGCAAAAAGUCAUAUGCUCAACUAAGUUAAAGAUAUUUAAAAUUUUAUUUAUAGUUUCUGUUAAAAUCUUUUUAAGUCUUCCUCUAUCUCUUCUCAUGUCAUUAAUAGCAAUCAUUUCACCUCUUUUAAUUACCGUAUAUGGAAGUCUGUAGAGCACAUGUCCUGUUCGUACCAUCUUCUUCCUUAUUUUAUCCUUUAUCAAAGUGAUACCUAAUUAUUUACGAAUAGAAAUAUUUUUUUUCCUAUCUUUUCUAAUAACUCUAUAGUCUAUACAUCGACCUCAACAUGCUCAUCUCAACAACACUAUAUAUAUAUGUUGUUUUUUAAAUGUCCAACACUCGGAUCAUUUUAGUCUAACCUUUGUAAUGAUUAUAUGAUAAUAAAAUGCAACAUUAUUCGAUCUUGAUUCCACCCAUUUUAAUCUUUUGAUUUAUUUCAUAUCUGAGUCCAAGCUAAAUAAUUAUUGUUGUUUGAAAAACAGCCAAAUAACAUGUCACUUUUUAUUAUUUAUUUCAAACUAGGUGUGGAUCUAGCAUUUCUAUUACUUCAUAAAGUUUUUUUCCAAGAAACAAAACUAGAAAGCAUCUAUUGAUUCACUAGGUGGGUAUAAAUAGUGCUCAUAGCAUCCACACUAAAAAAAGAAGCAAAAACUUCAGGCCAAUGGCCCAUCCGCAAAAAGGAUGCCCUGGUUGAAUUAACCAUUUUGGCCAGCCAAUCGGCAUUGGAAUUUCCUUCACAAUAGACAUGAGUGGUAUUGACUGAUUGGAAGUAGUGGAGUAAAUGUAGUACAUUCGGAAUUAUGUUAAUUAAUGACUAGGGAGGCUCAAUGUAGCCUGCUAAUAUGUCAGUGAUUGGUUUAUCAUCUGCCUCAGUAUGAACACGCUGAAAACCAUGUUGGAUAGAUAGCAUUAAGCCUUCUUUGAUGGCCAUAGCUCGUAGAAAUGGCUGCCCGCGCCUUGCAAGAACCUGCCACCUGCAAACAAACGGCGACCCAACUCAUCUUGGACCAAAAGAUCUGCUCCACCAGAAUUUGAACCAUCGCAAUAAGACUAUUCAAUCUUACCCAUCCCGCACUGGGUUUUUGCCAAGACACCGACAUCUCUGAAGAUUUGGAGCACACUCCCUCAGUAACAUUUGUAAUAGAGUGAUGGCUUUGGGAAGAUAAAGAAAGAAUGAAUCCGUUUAAUUUAUUAUUAGGAAUAUCUGUAAUUUAUUAGAAGAAUGUUACAAAAUAAUUUUGGCAGAAAAACAAACUGACGGUUAAUUCUGUCAUUGUAAAAUGCUAAAAGACUAGUUAUCUGUUAAUGAGUGACCCUUUUUUGCUUGUCAUUCUUUUACAAUGCUUAGUUUCCUAUUAAAUCAGAAAGCUAUAUAUCUACACAUUAAGGAUUUAGGUACCAGUUGUUCCUCUUCUGGUACAGUGUCAGAUUGGUGCAGUAUACCAUGCCCUUCCGCUGUGUAAAAGUAUAACAAGAUUAUUUGAAAUGUCGGUGUACUUCAGUGUGGUUGGUACUUGGUAGCAUACUAAUUGAGUUCGGACGAACACAUUGUGGUCAUUGUGGAUGGUACGGACAUUUUCGUAAAGAUGCUUGAUAAUUUUUGGUGCGUGAAACUCCAAUCAUGUGUUCAUUAAUGUGGAAUGCAACAUUUAAUGCAAGGUGAAAUGAUAGGCUGGGAGUGAUGGUGGUGCUUCUAUGGUACUGUUUUAUUUAAUUUUACAUGAUGUCACAUGGUUAAUUUUACAUGAUGUCACAUGUUUGUUAAUUCAUGCAAUACUCAUUGAACUGACUUGAUUUUCAGUGAUCGUGCAAGAGGUCUCAUUUUCACUAGCAUGAACUAUGAUCUUCAUAGUUAUAUGUAGUUUUUAGUCCUUGUUUGAGUUGCUUACAGUUGCUACAUGGUUUUGUAUGCCUUUCUUUACUGUUGCAUCUAUUGUAUCAAUAGGAUUUUUUUCCCUUUGCUCCCUACCAUACCAGUGCCCUUCCUUCUGACAUGCACACAUGGAAAACAACUUUAUUAUAGGAAGUCAUGGGGAUGGCCACCCUUCCAACACGGAUACUCCACUUGUGGCAUGGGGAGCCGGUAUCAAGAAUCCCGGGUGGUUGAUUUCUGAUAGCCUUUCUGAUGAUGGUUUCCGUUUUGUUGAUGAACAUAAACAUGAUAUGCCCACACCUACGGAGUGGGGGCUUAGAGGCAUUGAAAGAGUGGAUGUCAAUCAGGCUGAUUUAGCACCUUUAAUGGUAAUACUAUGAAUUCUUGAUUCAUUUAAAUUUUGUACCUUAGCAGUUGUUGCUAUAAUUUUCUUUUCACAUUAUUUCUUUAACAAAUCUAAAAAUUUGGCAGGCGACUAUUGUUGGAUUGCCAUGCCCGGUUAAUUCAGUUGGAAAUUUGCCAUUGGGUUACCUGAGUUUAAAUAAGGUUGGUUCUAUAACCUUCUCUUUUUCUUUUAUAUAGUACUGGGAUUUGCUGCAGUAUUAAUAAUAACAUGAUGGUACUUCAAUUGUUCUUUCAGGUCUUGUGAUAAUGAAGUUAUUUCACUUAUUCCAAGACAGAUAGUCAUCUUUUACUGUAAUAAGACAUUGCACUAUUUAUGUGUCUAAAUCAUUUUUCUUUCCUGGUUCAUUUUAAGUAGGCAGAAGAAGUUGAAGCUGUUUUCGCAAAUACAAAGCAAAUUCUUAAUCAGUUCCUCCAGAAGUCAAGUAUCCUACAUCUGAAGUGCCAUUUUGAGAAGAAUAAUGCACUUAUAACACAAAUUUAUUUUUGAGUUUGAUUGAUAGGCCAUAUAUGAAACUAUAAUCUCAAUUCAAAAACAGAUGGUUUUGUUUGUGAGUUCAUGGUAUGAUUACUGGUAAAGUCCAACCUAUUUUUCUAGAGUUUACAUUCUGUUACUGAAUUUAUUAUCCAUAAAUAUGAAGUUAUUUUGCACAUGCAUCUUGAAUCAAAAGUUUAUACAAUGAAGAAAUCUAAAUGUUGAGAGAACUGUGCAAAGAAAAUGACCUUAAUUUUGCCUUAAUUAUGAUUAUUCUUCUUAAUCGCCUUUAAUUCAAAGGAGAUAUAAAAUCAUGUAAGAAGUUGAAGCAUUGUGUUAUAUGCUUACUUAGUUACUACACGUUAGACCUUAAUUAUGCUGAAUCUACCUCACUAUGUAUUCCUCUGAUUACCCAUUUAACAUGGGAGAAUAAGCUCAUAAAUCAUGCAGGAAGUCAAUAUCCAAGCAGUCAAUCUAAACUAAUUUUUCCAUGUAAAAAUAGAAAUUCAUGCAAGAAGUCAAUAAUACAUUAUCAAUUUAAGCUAAUUUUUCUUAAAUACCUCUAAUCAAAUCUUAAUUUAUCAUUAGGUCCUAAUCAAUAUAUUUACUAAUAUUAUUUAGAUUAAUUACAUGAAAUGAUAAAGAAAAUAUAGAGAAAAGAUAACUGCCUUCAAUUAAAGAGUAAUUCCAUAAGAGCUCGAGUUUAAUCCCUCUUUUAUUCAAAUCAACUCUACUGAUUGCCGACUAGUUGGGAGAAAGAAUGAGAAUGAGCGAGAAAGGGAGUGAGCUUGAAAAUGAGUGAGAGUGAUUGAAAAUGUGGAAGAGAGGGACUUUCAUAAGCCUAAAAGAGCUCCCAAUAGUCAAAUUGACCGUUAAGGGCUGUAAGUGUAAUCUUUCAACCAGGCACCAAUCGAAAUCCAGCCAUUAUCGAUCGGUACCCAUCACUAAUGGUCGAAUUUCAAUUGUACUUUGUGGUGAGGCGGUGAGGCAUACCACGGUUGGUACACCUCACAAAUCACGUGUUUCAGCCGAAACGGGUUGGUCAAGGUUUUGGUCAGCCCUCGGACUGGUACAUCCCAUUUCUUACAAGGCGGCAAGGCAGUUCAUGGUGAGCCCUACCCAUUUUCUUUUCAAGUUUUUUUCUUCAAUUUGACUUCGCUUAUUAUAGGGUUAAAGGCAGAUGUUUAGUUAGGAAAUAAAAUAUUCGUUUGUUCUUUUGAUCCAGAGGGAAAAUUUGAUCUUGGUUCAUAGUUUUGUUUAUCAUAUAAGAAAAUAAUUGUAUGUUGAUCAUUUAUGAAGAUAUUCUUUUAUGGAUGGAACAGUGACAGAUUAGCUCUCUUAGGCUUCAACCUUUUCUGGUUUGGCACAUAGAUAUUGCUUCUAUUAAGCUAUUGGUGACUUAAAGUGGCCUGAUAAAUUCUGUAGCAAACUAGAGAGAUUGAUGCUUGAAGCCUUGUGAAGAAAUAUAAUGCUGCUAUUGUUUCAACUUGAUGUUUGUUGAAUAGCUUUUCAUUAUGAUCUUAUUCCACUACGUUGCAUUUACAUAUAACUUGUGUAUUUAUCCUGUUCCUGUUGUUGAAAGAUGGAUAAGAACAAAGAUACCUCUCAGAAUUGCCCACAUCUAUUUUGAUGUCCUUAAUCAGAUUUAAAGGGCUAAAGCAGCUGAGUUCGCUAUACUUCAGGCCAUAUAAGCCUUUGGCAAACUUUUCUUCAUUUCUUGACCAAAUUGAAGAUCUUAUAGCAGCAAGGGAAUACAAAGCUGCCUUGAAAACUUGCCAUAUCCUAAGGGCUAUGUCACUUGAGGGUCUUCAUUACUUCCAAACUUAUGAUUGGUUGAUGUUAAUGGCAACAAUCAUCCUUGGUUACAUUGGAUGGAUGAUGAAUUUAACACUUCAUGUUCUGCAGUCUUACACAUUUUUGGGAAACAUUUUCUUGAAGAAAACCCAAGAGUCUUCUCUUAGAAUCACCAAAAAAAAUGUAAGUUAUUAAAUGGUCGGAAAUUUUUGCCAAUGUUUAAUUCUGAUACCUUAUUCUAAUGUUAUGUUUCUAUGGGAAAAUCAAUUUCUUUUUCCCAUGAUCUUGUUAGUGCAGUUUUUGCAGCAUGGAUGAAAUAGAUGCCUAAGACACAACCUAUAUGAAUAUAGAUAAUCUCGACGUAUAAUGCAUAUGGAAAAUAAUUUAUAAUAUUUUUUGCUUUACUUUAAGUGUAUGUUAUUGUUUAUAUUGCUCUUAAACUCAAACUCAUUCAUGAUUAAUUGAUAUAUAUUUCGAUUGUAGACAUCAAUUUUCAUCCUAAAUUUUCAGUAAUUCUGCUUUAACUUGUCGCUACGUUAAGAAAUAAAAUGCUAGUAACACUGAUGUUCUAACUUAAGGUUCAAUUUUCUUAAAUGUAGCUUAAAUAGUGAUAGAUCUCAUGAGCAGGCAACAUUAUUAUACUCUUAUAUAUUCAUAUGCUAUAUCUUGAACAAACUUUUAAUUAAUUCUUCAUCUCGGACAUUCAUGUACAAUCAAAGGACACAUUGCUUAGAUUAUUUGAUAGCAAGGUAGGUGGGAUGUCAAUUGUUACAUUUACAGUGGUGGGAAGGUCAUUCAAUGUGAUAUGAACAUGUUCAAAGUAGAUCUAAUGAUUUUGUGAUUGGAUGAGAUAAGUCAAUUUGGAUCAAUGGUGUGAGAAUAGGUAGAAGGCCUAAGAAAACUCUAUUUAGAGCUAAAUGACAGGAGAAGAUCCAAGUAAUUGGUAACAAGGGUUGCCUUUUCGCUUGGGCUGGUACAAAACAAGCGGGUACUUAUCGGUUUGGGCAUGAACCGGUCCAUGGACCGCCCUUGUUUUGUGGCAAUUUGCUCUAACCCAUUUAAACUUUUAGGACUUGCGUUCACAAGCCCUCAUCACCCAAAAGAGAGUGUGUUUGGCCUCAUUCUGCCGCCCAUCGCCGCCUCGUGCCUCCAUCCUCCUCUUCCUCCACUACCUCCUCCUUAUCCUUUCUCUUCUUCCUCCUUCCCCUUCCUCAUUCUGCUUGUUCCUUCUCUUCUUCCACCGCCUCCUCUUCCUCCUUCCUCUUCCUCUACUACCUCCUCUUCUUCCUUCCUCUUCCUCUAGUACCUCCUCUUUUUCCUUCCUCUUCGUAACACCAGUACAUACCGGUACUGACCAGUAUGUACCAGUCUGAUCAGGUCACCGAGAUGGUCCGGUACCCGAAAUAGCAAUCCUUGGUUGGGAUAUCACAUCUUAUUUUUGUUGUUGUUGCUGCUCCAGUUGUACAGUGUUGUCUUGAAUUGGGUGACAUCUCACAUUACGGAUCUCAACUCUCUAAAAAUUGAAGAAAACCAAUAUUUUAAGAGAUGCUGACCAAAGCUGCAAAGUCCAUGGCCUGAUCCUUGUUCAAAUUGGUAUGCCUUGUUAAAUGCAAUAAGGCAUUCCAUGAUCCUCUGCUCUUCAUAUAUAUCACAUAACCUAUUCCGCAUGUUCCAGAAAGUUAAACAAUACACAAAAUGGUGCCCAAGAAUCUUAAUGCUUUGAAACACAAAACACACGAACUUGUAUUGGUGACAUAGAACUUCAUCAUUUCCAAAAGGAUAUGUUAUCACAUUAAGAAUCAGAGAACAAAUGGCUUGAGAUUAAAGGGUAUUCUAGAUUUCCAAAUUCUUUCAGCCAAAUGAGACAUGUACAGAAGGGUUUCCAUACAUGGUCAGAUUAGGAUCAUGAGCCGAACACAAAGUACAAAUAUUUACUGGUAACAUCAAACUUCAUGAUUUGCAAAAGAUUGUUGUUGUAAUUAUAUUAUCAGAAUGCAAGUGACUUGAGCUUGUUAGAUAUUUUAGAGUUUCCAUAUAUGGAUGAUUUAAAAUUAGGAUCAUGAACUUGGUGAAGGUACAAAGCUUUUCAAGAUAAGUCUAUCGAACUGCAAAACUAGAACAUUUAAUCUCUGACUCUCUUCUACUAUUCUGCCCGAUAAUUCCAACUUUUCAAAAUAUCUAUCUCUUGAACUGAAAAGGAGAAUUCGACAAUAUAAUUCCUCAUUCUUAAAUAAAGUGCAACUUGCAUCAAACUUAAAAGUUAACCUUUUUUCUCACCAAGAUACCAGAAUGCAGAUGCAAUAUACCAACAAUCGCAUUCUGUAAUUGAUUAGGACUAGGAUUCUUCCUAGUUACGUCGAUUAGAAGAAUUCUGGGUCAAAGCCAGGAAGCAUAUCCUGCUACUCACUGGAGAACAGAAAUCUUUAUUCUAUGAAAAUGGAUGCUAACUGUAAACCAACCAAGCAAAAUCACACAUUCAAAAGGAAUAUAUUAUGGAUCCUACUCCUUUGUGGUACUAUCAAAACAUCCCAUUGUAAAAGUGAACCUAGUAUCCCCGUAUUUUUAACCAGAGGGCAUCAUAGAGUUGUGAUCACCAACCAAGCCUGAGUAAGGAAAGCACAAAUCAUAAAAAUGAACAACAUCCUCACAAAAUAAAUGUAAUCCUAAGUUUUUCUGGAUCAUAGAGAUGUGAAACACCAAAAUUCUUACCCUUAAAAUAAAAGAAAUACAUAUAAAGAAAUAAGUGGAUGGCGGUUAUCAUUUUGGUACUUCUUCCAGUUUCUUCCAUUGUUUUUCUUCAGAUUCACUCUUCUACUUCCCAUAUUUCAUCCCUGAGCCUCUUACUGAUUGUCAGCAAGUCUAUUAAGAUUUUGUUACUGUUCUAUUUCAUCCACUUUGUAUUAUGCACAUGUUAAGUUUACAGAUAAAAUUAUGGUAGAUCUGUGAGACCAUCAUACUAGUGGCCACUAAAAAAGACCUUGGGACCAGUUGCCACUAAAAAAGACCAAAGGAAAAGAAAUAGGAAGUCGGGCCUAGGCAUAGGAACUUUUGUUGAAAAUCUGGAUCCAUUACCCAAUCAUAAAUCAAAGUCAGGUUCGAGGUUAGGAAUGUGGAUUUUGGACAAACCAGAACUUAAUUGCUAUAUCAACAUUAAAUUGAUCGAACUAGAUUUGGUUUAUGUUUUAUUCUUAUUAAUGAAAUUGUAAGUCAGUUAUUCCUAUUAUAUUUGUUUGUUGAGAAAUUUGGAUCAAACCAGGUUGAGAUUUGAUCAAUUGAGAAAAUCAAGGCUGGUUAAAUGUAUAGUUUAUCUCCAUAAUUGAUCAUUUGACGAAAAUUGGUACCUAUUCAGGUUAGAUUCUACUUGUCUAAAUAAACUAGUCAAAUUGUGAACAUGUUGUGAUGUCCGAGAACUAGGUCUAGGUAUAGUUUAUCAAUUGUGAAAAUCAGGUUUUGAUUUGGUCAAUUGAGAAAAUCAAGGCUGGUUAAGUGUAUAGUUUAUCUCCAUAAUUGAUCAUUGGUGAAAAUUGGUACCUCUUCAGAUUAGAUUCUACUUGUCUAAAUAAACUAGUCAAAUUGUGAACAAGUUGUGAUGUCCGAGAACUAGGUCUAGGUAGGAUCUGAAUCUGGCAAUUUAUAAUUGUUUAAAAUUUGUUACACCUACUAUUUUUUAUUGUAAUUGAUUGGAUUUGACCUCUAUUUUGUUUCCAACUGUUCUGAUAUGGCAAGUUGUAAACAAUAUAUAGUCCUUCCUUUUAUAUGAAUCCAUGCUUUCUGCCUUGUACACACACUAAUAAUGUAUCUCGGAACCUCUUAUUUUUUACUUGUAUAUUUGGCCUUUUCUAGUUAAUAAUUUUUUGUUUCUAGAAAAAAUAAUCUUUAUUAUCUUGCAGGUAUAUCUGGGUGGAUGCCUGUUGAUGAGUUUAUUGUCUGUUAUUCUUUAUCUGGAGAAUUCUCCUCUUCUUUACCAUGCCUAUAUAUCAAUGACAGUGUUCCUGUGGACACAAAUUCUUUCUAAGCUCCAACUUCUAAAUGCUAUAUGGAAAGAAUUGUCUGCUAGAAAUUUUAUAUCGAAUAUGAAGCUUUUAUCUGUUCUCGUGAUGUCGUUUAUCAUUCUUGAAUUUCUGGUAUGUUGCUAACAUCUGUUAUCCAACUUUUGACAAACAUGCAAGUAAAUCUGCAUAUUGAGUUUCAAUUAUGCUGGUACAGGUGGCAAGCUUUUUCAACAGGAAGUUAUAUACUUGGUUUUUUCUCAUUGCUGGGAUACUUGCUGCAUUACAUUUAUUUUUUAUUGCCUCAGGACGACAUAUAAUGGCUCUUUACUUAUGGUCGUCCUGCUGGUUCUUGUCCAUGUUCACGUUGAUGCCUGCAGAAAUCCCUGACAAUAACCCUUUAGUGUAAUGCUCAUACCUCCUUUUCAGUUUCCUUCUAGAUUUUUGUGGUAGUAACUAGUAAUUACUAUCAGGAAAUGUCCUUCUCGUUUUUUUUCCUUAUUCUUGGGGAAAUUUUUUGCAUGCUUGAGCUAUACUUUACAAUAUUUGCAUAUCUAAUGACUUUGAAAUUUUGCUGUUUUUUCAUUAUCUUUUAUCUGCUUGGAUAACCUGAUUAAUUUAUAAUUUCUAUAGAAUAACUGCUUUAGCGUAUAAUUAUGUGAUAUACUCUUGUGCUAGAAAGGAACAGAACAGGGAACACUUUCAGGAGAAAAAGAUAUAAUAAGGUUCCCAUUUUUAUGAUGCUCUGACUUCCACAAAUGGAGAUUGUUACAAAAUGAGAUUUGUAAUUGACUGUAAAUGAGUGGUUCUGUUAAACCUUUUCUUUUUCUGACCAACUGGACUUCACAUUAGUUUAGCAAUAUUAUGCACCACAGACAUCUAUAUUAUUAUAUAAUGUGAAAUAGGAUCUAUAGAGUAUAGGCCAUGACGAGCGUUAAGUCCUCAUCCAAUGGGCAUGCUGUUUACAUCCAUGUGGACAGUGCAUUCCCGUUCUGCAACCUGUUGUCUUUUCUUUUUGGCUUUAGCUAUUUCUUCUCAGUAUCAUCUCUCAUGUGCAAGGCACAUCCUUGAGACUAAUGGGUGCUGAUGUGAAGAAAAACCCAUUUUGCUACUGUGAUUUGUUCAUUGAGCAUUGCUUCUGGUUUUACAAGUUGUUAAAAAAAAAAUUCUGAUUUUUAUUUUAAGGUUUUAAUUAACUAGUGUCUUAUUGCAAAAGAAUUUACAGAGAGCUUACAUCAAAUGAAUCAAACAUAUCCCUAGGAACGAUUACAAUUUAGUGGAAGCUUGAUCUAAAAGCUUGUUUCUAGAAGCCUCUCAUAUAACCUAUGCUUUCUUGCAAAUCUUUCUAAGAAAAAUUGUUUAACACGUCAUUUUGCUCAGAAAAAAACAUUUGAAGGAAUAGGUAGGUGGAGGAAGAAAUAAGAAAAGAACAUGCAUUCCCCAUUCAUCGCUGUUGCCAUUGCCAUCAUCACGAUCCUGUUCUUGCUAACUUUCAUAUUUGCACACGCAUAUAUCAUAACGACACAUAAGCUUAUAUGCUACUAUAUUAGGAACCCAGUGAGGGAUGAAUUGAUUAAUGUUGGCCUGACUUGGUUCCAAUGCUCCAAAAGAACUUACAUAAAUGUGUUUUUGUGCUGAUUUAGCUAACUAGUCACAGUAGUGUCGGAUUCAUUGAUAUGGCUGCUUCAAGACAUUUGAUAAUUUUUUAUUUGAACUAGUUGUUUCAUCUGCCAGCAAUUAUUCUAUGCUUUUAAUUAGUCAGUUAUUCUCUGAAUGAUGUGCUUCCAAGAUAGGGGAAGCUUUUAACAAAAUGAAUGACCGAAAUAACCAGAAAGCUUUUGCAGAUUGGACGAUCUUUGGGUUUCUUUUUAAUCCAUUUUGAGAUGGUAACCUUCCUGUUUGCUGUUGGGCUCAAUUAAGUUGGGUCAUUUCCUUCUUUUGACAUGGACAAGAAAACCCUAUUAUUGUAGACUUGGUGCAUAAUCUUUGCAUUGGUGAUCUGCUAUUGGCCAUAUCCAUCCACAUGCUCAUUUUUUAAUAUAAUCAUCUCAAUGGAGGAGUAUAUUUCAUUCAUUAACAAUUGUUAACAGUGUUUCAGAUGUUAUCAUCUAUUCUUUCUAAGCAGGAUAGAUUAAGAUGAGUACUUUACAGGUCAUUGCCUUCUUAGAGUCCAAUUCACUUCUUGGAAACUUCUGAUCAGCUAAAUGAUUAAGAAGUUAUGAUUUCUGAUUUGUGCAAGCUUCAGAAAUGGUUGCUUUAUUUUUUAUUUAAAAGCUUUUGCUACAAUUCUGUAUCUUGAAAUAUCCAUAUUCAGAUUCUUGCCGGCUUGCAAAGAUCAGCACAUAUCAUGCCAUUCCAUAUCGUGCUAGUGGCUUUGAUGCACACACAAGUCAAUUUACUGGCAUGGGGUAUGUUAGUAUGCUGCACAGUUUCAAGUUAUGGUCAGUUUGGUGUGUGUUGACUGGUAUCUACCAGUCCAAGCAAAGACUGGUGCCAAACAAUACGGUCUGACAUUGGUCAAUAUUAUUUUUGUGAUAUUUUAUGGGGAUACCAGACUGUACGCCUCAGUAGUCUGUUAGAUUUUUUAAACCAGUUUUGGAUCGAGAUAUAAAUUCCUGCUAUACUUUACUUGGUAUCAGUACCAAGGGUUGCAGUUUUGGGUACUGAACCUGUGAUGGUCCAUAGCCUGAUGGUAUCAGUCCAGUUCAUGCCGGUGUAAUGGUACAUGAUAUAGGAGAGGAGUCAUGGGAAAUAUGGCUGCAAUCGAUUGCAAGUGGCUAGCGAGCAGCAUCACAAGUUGUGGACACACAUAUCUAAGUGGCAUGCAAACCCUAAGUGCCCUUGAGAAAAUAAAAGGAAACUGGACUGGACCGGACUGCCUGAAGAUGGGCAGUACACAUCUCGAAUCCUGCCCAUAGUAAAUACUGGCCAGUAAAAACUGACGAAAUCAAGUUCCUUGAUCAGAACACUCCUGUCUAACAGAAUAGGAAGUUUGAAGUUUGGUGAUGAUUUUUCUACUACAACUCACUUGUCAUUUCUCUGUUAUCAUAUAUCUGUCCAAGACAUUAUCUUAGAGUCACUUUGUUCCUUUGUUUUAUGUACUCUAAGACUGUAGUACUCAUUUUUUGCCUUCUGAAUUCAUAGAACCAAAAAGUUCCAUGUUCUCAACUUGUUAGUUACUUCAAGCUAGUUUAAAAUUCACAUUAGCUUAAAACAAUUUGGUUAUCUAAAAUAGUUACUAUGGUCUCUAUUCGUAUAUAAAAAUUUUAAGCUGUGCUUGCCAGAAAAUUAGUUAUUUGAAGAAAAUUUAAGACAAUAUAUUAUCUGGGAACUAUAGUGUGCAUUUUGGAUGGUCAUGGAGAUCUAAUAGAGUUGACAAAUGCAGAGUUGCUAGUGGAGGUCUGAUAGUAUUGAUUGGAAUGGCUUCAAGGUGGAUUCAGUCAAGUAGUCGAGGUGAUAACUUCAAGUUAUACAUUGUUCAAAUGAGUGAACAAACGUCUCAAUUCCAUAAGCUCUUCCUUGUUCAGGUAAAUGACGAAGAAAAAUCUCUGCUAAGUUCUCUAUUGGUAUUUUAUUGUCUGAUUGCAGACAUUUCUUUGAUAAAUUGUGCUAAAUGUGUCUCUAUUUAUGUGUUAGGCUUCUUUAGUUGUGGUAUCAUCCUUAAUGGUGUGGUUAUCCACUUCCCACAGGGCUCUGAAGAAAGAACUUCUCCCAAUGCACCAGUUAAUAAACUGGUCCAUAGCGGGUAAUUCUGAAAUUUGAAUACAUUAUUGAUUGUCUAUUCAUUUCUUUCACGUUUGAUUAUUCUAGCUAAUUUAGUAGUAUUUUCCUUGUGAUAUUGUACCAAAAUUCUGGUGCAUAUUAUUUUUAUCCUAAUGAGAAGGAAUCAAAUGAUAACUAAUUAAAAAAGGUCUUCCUAAUUCCUUGUAAGACUCGCUAAAUGUAUUAAAAGGAAAACUAAAGGCUGGAUAUUUCCUCAAGGCUUAAAGUUCUUCCCUUCAGGUUGCAAUUUUGAAACAAGUAACAAAGUAAAAAAGGAACAAAGAACUAUAACAUGUGAAUCAAGCCAAUCCCCAGCACCUUAAGGCAUUUACUGAAAAUGGGUCUUGAGGUCUUCUAUGGUCUUGGAUUUAAGUUGGAAAGGUGUAGGAGGUUAGCAGAACUUAGGUUCAAAGGUGUUGCUAGCAUAUUCUGCCUCUGCUGGCAUCUAGCAAAAUAUGUGUAGUCAACAUGGAGCACAAUUGUGUCGAAAUGGGGGUGCCAUUGGCACCAAAUAAAAUUGCACACACAAAACCAAAAAUAGAUACUGCGAGCUAAUAAAUAACAUAUUUGGUGAGGGACCUUAUCUGCUCCCCUCUAGCCUUGAGAUAUGAAAUCAAACUAUUAUUGUAAUUUUAUUAAUCAUAUAAUGCAACAAAUAGCCAUAAUAUCCCAAGUUAGCUUCCCCAAUCCUUUCUUUAAUUUACCUCUGUUUAGGGCAAUAUCAUUGAUCAUGAUAAUAUUUAAUAUACAACAUAAAACAAUAUGUCCAAUCAUAGUUGUGUCGCACCUAUAAUCAAAACAUCAACAUUCAAGAAAAAAUUUCGCAAGAUGUUUGCAUAAAGUUUUCUUCAAAUAUACCAGAGGUAUCUAAUAAUAUAUUUUUUUGGCAACAUGUACUUCAAGGAAGUGUUGCUUGAAAUACUGAUGCAUAUCAUUACAUAUAUGCAACAAAUAUUUUAUAAUAAUUAUAUUCGAUAUCCAAUAUAAAUACUAAUGCAAUUUGAAGUAUCCAUCUUUCAUAGCCCUAAAGGGAUUUCAGGUAUUGUGUUGGUCAAAAAUUGAGGUGUGACCAAACGAAGUUGAUCUAAUUUCCUCUUAUAUGGUUGAUUUGGGCCAAUAUAAGCUAAUACAAUUGUAGGGAUUGGACCCAACAAGGAACUUAAUAGAAAUUGAGCAAUUGGCUCAGUAAGAACCGAUGCCGGCCCACAUUGUUAGGUCUCAGACUUGGGUCAGUUUAGUGAUAUGCCUCAGACUACUCAGCUCUAAAUCACUGACGAGAACUGUAGAGUACUUAAGAAAAAUUGAAUUUAAUAGAAGAAUAUCUUGUCUCAGUCUUAUUCAAAAGGAUAAUGUACAUUAAAUCGUCUUUCUAGAAUACGGCCCACAUAUUCUGUGAUAUUACUGUUGCUUCAAACAGUCAUUGAUGAAUAAAUGCCUUGAUUUCUCAUAUCUUAAUAUUCAGUAUAUUUGGCAGCUAGCACCAAAGAGACAGAUGACACAUGCUUUUUGUUACCUUUCUGAUAUUAUUUAUAAACUUUUCGGUAUUUUGAAUUUGUAAUUCAUUGAUUCUAAGUAAUUUAUUCUGCAUCAUCUUGACCUUCUUGUCAUAAUUCAUCUCUUUGAUAACUUGAUAAUCUCAAAAUCACUAUGCUAAUAAUCCAUUACUUUGUGUAUCCACAGCAUUAUCAAAAUAACCAAGGCACUUAUUAUUGAGGAAACAGAAAACAUAAAAAGUUAACAUGAUCUAGUAACUAAGCACCAAUUGGAAGUGUACAUUGAAGGAGGGCAUUGAGGCCUUUAAGAGUAUGUUAGAUGAUGGCCAGGGUGAAUAACGUAGCAAUGAUUGGGUUUGUUUUUUAAUCAACUAGAUCUAGGUGUAGCAAGAACCAAGCAUUGCCAGUUUGCAUACUUAUUGAUUCCUGGCUAGAUUGGUAUGUACCUGUCGAUACCUGUGUACCGACGCAUGGUACAGCAGUACAUCUCAGUGUUUCGAAGAAGAAGAAAAAGGAGAGGAAGGCAUAGUCGAGAAGAGGAUGAAGGAGGAAGGCAUAGGAAGGAAGAAGAAGAAGCGCUGGAGGAAGAGGGAGGAAGAGGAAGAUGGAGAGGAUGCUAUGGAGGAAGAGAUGGAGAAGAAGAGGAAGGAGGAAGCGUAUCUAUUGACAGUGCAUGGUGGGCUGCGAACAACAAUGAGUGGCAACACAAGGCGAAAGGGCUCGUGAACGCGAGCCCUAAAGUUUGUUUUUUAAAAUUUUUAUUUAAAUGGUUUGAACCAGAAUGCCCGAAAUGGAGGCGGCCCGCGCAUCAGUUCAUGCCCAGACGUGUACAUACCAUCCGUUCCAUAUCGGCCCGGGCGAAAUGUCAAACACUAGCAAGAACAAGUGUUUAGGACUUUAGGUCAUAAGGAUGACUUUAGCAAGAUAAGACUGUAUUCAUCUUUAUGCCCAUAUAGAAACAUGCAUGAGAAAAGCGAGAACAGUAUCUUUUCUAUUGCUAACAGCAACAUCUAUGUUGCUAGUGUUUCUUCAAUUUUGCUGGUGUUUAUGCACUAUUUGAAAAUUUAUUCAACUUUCAAUUUUAUUUAUUAUUUUAGUGUCUUGAAUUUGCUAAGCUGCCUUAGUGUUUUUUUAUUUUUUUUCUUUUGCUAGUAACCACAAAAUUACAAUCUGCAAUUCUAGAUGUUAAAACGUCUUUUGCCAUUAUAUUUUUGCUGCAUGUAUAAAGGUCAAGGUCAGAUUAUGCAUUUUAGUAUUAGCCAGGAGAGGCAGAGGAAGAAUCGAGGCUUGGUUAGAAGAAAUAAAAAAGUGACUCAAUGGCUCUUGAAUUAGUUAGGUUAAGUUGAUCUUAUUAACAUGCAUAAUAUUUUAACUGAACAGAACUUUUAAUUGGGUUUUGUAAUGGUUGCUGUCUUUUUGUAAUAUUUUAUGCCAUCCUAGUUGAUAUAUACCUUAAAGAAGUGCUUAUGAUGAAUGGUACCAACUCAAGUUAUUGUUUUCUCAACAGUUGUUUCAAUGAUCUUACCAUUGUUUUCCCCACCUAGUAUCCUCUCUCGUCUCACGUCUAUCUUCUUGGGUUUUGCUCCACCAUUCCUGCUACUGUCCAUUGGGUAAGAUAGCCUCUUUCUCUGUAUCAUGCUAAAUACGGUCAGUCCUACUUUUUAGCAUUUGAAAGAUAAUCUGAUCUUUUGCAUAUUUCAAUCUUUCUACAGAUAUGAAGCUGUCUUUUACAGUGCACUUGCUCUGGUACUCAUGGGAUGGAUAUUGCUCGAGUGUGUGAAUCUAUAUUCUGCUGAAUGCCAAGGACCUUUACAUGUGAGAAACCUGGAGGAUAACCCAACUGGUGGUGGCUAUAAUGCAAGAUAUUUGCAGCUUUCUGAUAUAAGAAUUCCUCUCUUUUUUGUAAGACUCUCUACUUAUGCUCUAUGCAUUAAAGCAAAAAGAUAUAUACAUUUUUAGAAUGGAGUAUCAGAUAGUGAUAUUUAAUUCAUUUAACAAUGGCUCUUAAGAGAUUGUGCUAAGUUACAUCUGUAGUUCUUGUAGAUAAUUACAUGUUUUAGAUAAUCAUGGUAGCCAUCUCAGUCCUAGCAGAUAAUCCUCCCUCUUGCAAGCACCUACUAUUCAGCAUUUGCUUUUUUUGAUGAGAAAUCCCAUCCAUAGCACAAAUUUUCCUGGUCCUGUGAGUCACUUUAAUCUUCAUGUAAGUUUACAGCUCUCAUCCGCUCCAAUGUUUCUCUUAAAUUUGAUGAAGGCCUUUGUCACAAAUUUUGUGCAAGACGAGCAUUAGUAUUUUCUGUUAUCCACUAUUGAGAAUUUUAUAAUGAGAUCACAUUAUACAUAUUAUUAAGAUCACUACUAGUAGAGCAGUUGAAAGAUUUAAAGAACUCACUAAAUGCACUAUUUACAAAUUUAUGGAAAACAUUUUGUUGCCUUUCACCAAUUAGAUUAUUUUCUCCGGUCAUAUCAUUAUAUGGAAAAGCACAUCUACCAAGGCUGCAAUUCAAGUGGCUUGGUUCAGUUUUUAUUCAGCCUAAUCAUGUUCUGUCUUCUAUGCCUAUAAGGCUAUUACCUAACCUGAACCAGUGUAUUUAAGCAAGAUUGAAGCAACCAUGUGGCUUGGAGAGAUGAAGCUUAGGGUGAGAGUAUGUUGCAUGGGAGUAGGGGACCAGGGAAGGGAAUGUGAUAAGUUGACAUGAGGUUUGACUAAUCUUGGUUGGCCUCAAAGUGUUGCAACCUAAUAUGUUUAUUCUACAAUUUAUCUACUUAGAGGUUUUAGGUAGUGCUUUUUUAAUCUCCUUCAGGAAAUAUGAAACAGUGAAAUAUGCCAACUGGGAAGUGUAUGUUUUUGGUGCUAUGAAUUAUUGGUAGCUUCAUUUAAAUUUCAUCCAUAUUUUUGUUCAAUAAGUUUACAAGGCCUGAUUUCACUAUUUAUUGACAAGAUACUUGAUGAACUCAUGGCUGCCAUUGACUAGCUGUUUUUUUACAUUUGUAGUUAUGAGGCAAGUACCCUUUUAUGGUGCAUAAUUUAUGGUAGUUUCCUGCAUUUGGUAGUUGUUUAUUGAAAUUUGGGUUAGUCCUCUCAUGAUGUAUUGUCUUAUGGAACAUGAGAUAUGCUUCUUGAAUGCUUUAACUGCUAUAUUUAAGUAAUACAUUAUUCCAUAUAUACUGAUUCUGUGGUUUAUAAAUACCAUCUAGAAAUGUAUAUACUUAGUAACUCCACUAAACUGAAAGACUUGUCCCCUGUCUUUUGCCUUGUUCUAUUUAGACCAUUCAGCAAGCAAGUUCUGAAUGAGUUCUGUGAUCUUCUUGAUUUGAUGUAUAUAUUCCGUCUUGUAAAAAUAAGGAACAAUGUAUAUGAUUCUAUGCAAACUUCUGCAAUAAGAGAAGUCAAAUAUUUGUAUGUAUGAUGAAGUGUGUCGAGGACUUUGUGAUUCCUAAUUUCAUGCACUUCUUGCCUCUGGAAAUUUCUGUUUCCUCUUUAUACAUCUUUUUGCACUGUCAAUUAUUGUUCACAUCCAGCAAUCAAGUAAAGUUGGAACUAGUUCAUCGGUGCAAACAAAAAUAAUAAAUUUCUCCAAGAGGAUAUGCAUAUAGUUUCCCAAUGUUUAUUCAUGUUAAAUUAUGCAGAUGGUCUUGUUCAAUAUUGCCUUCUUUGGAACUGGUAAUUUUGCAAGUAUUGCAAGCUUUGAGAUUUCAUCAGUUUACCGUUUCAUUACAAUCUUCAGCGUAAGCAUUCCCUAACUUCUCACUUACCUAAUGUAAUUGUUUGGUAAUUCUGUUAUUAAAUAGUAAAUACUCAUUUCUCACUAAUGCUAAUCUAAUUCUUUUCUGCUUCCAGCCGUUUCUAAUGGCAGCACUGCUUAUUUUCAAGUUGUUCAUUCCAUUUUUGCUUGUCAUGUAAGUUCAACUUAAUGUAUCAUAUAUAACUGAAGUUCGAAAAUUCAUUCACCUAAUGGACUUUCUUUGGCUGAAAUGGGUGGAUUUAUUUGUUGAUUUAUAUCUAAGCUUCUACACUUGUUCUUUUUGUACAAGUAUGACAUAGUUCUGUCAAUUGAAAUUUCUUAAUGUUGUUGUAUGCAAAUGCUAGCUUUAUGUCUCAAUUAUCUUUUUUCAAUUUUUUCUUGCUCCUGUACAUAUGAGCAUUCCAGUUGGCUCAUGUAACUAGCAUUAGAUUUCUUGGGUCUGUCUCAAAGUUAGUUUCAGACUUCAGGAACAUCUAGACCCCAUAAUAUUUUCUUUUUUUUUUUUCGAAAACAGUAAAUCAGCUAUACUACUUUAAUAAUCUAAUGCAACGCACACUUUACCCAUCCAUGCACAGGAGUCCAGUUCUCAGGAGUGAAGACCAAUUAGGUCUCCAUAUCUUAUUACAUUUACAAUUUUUAGUAUAUGUAGCUAACCAAUGUGCACACUCUGUAGAUGUGGGAUUUACCUGCUUAUAGUAAGCCUCCAUGGUGGCUGGUCUUUCUUUGUUAAGGAUUUUGACUAACAUCCCAGCAUCCAUUUUAAUUUCAAUUCUUUAAAAUCCUCCUUCAGCAUUUCCUUCUUUGAUUACCGCCAAUUCAUUUAGAUCCCUUCUAUAUAGCAAGAAGUAUUCCUUCUCUGAUUACCACCAAUUCAUUAUACUAACAGCCAUGUUCUGAAAUGAACCUGCAUCAUUCCAUGUGACAAGUGCCAUCAUUUAAAUGCAAUAAAAACCCAGCUCCCCGAUCAUUAGUUCGUUCAUUGUAAGCACCAUCAGUAUUAAUCUUGCACCAACCAUUAAAGGGUUGGAGCACUUUACUAUAAUGUGACAUAUCGCACUUUAAAUUACACCAUAUCGUUUUGUAAUUCUAUAUAUAAUCCUUUUACACUCUCCUUGAGGUAGGAUUUGCUUCAGGCAUGAUGGUUUUGAACUUUUGAUCUUAUGUGAUCCAAGAUUUUUUUCCUUUCAUAUACAAGUUCAAGGAUAUAUGCUGAGUUGCAGUUCUCUUUUUUUUGAACUUUUGAACAUAGAACUAUAGCUUGAGUCUCGAAAGUAAUGGAGGAGAGUGUUAAUUGUUUGUUAGGAUAUAUAGGUGUAGAAUAAUGAAAUAUGGUUCAACCAUGUUGCCCUCUAAUAGUUGGUGUGUAUCAUGCCAGUGGUUACUGGUGCUGCUUGUAGCUAAGUGUCAACUGUCAUGCUUACAUACCGUUGUUGAUGCAUGCAUAUUAGCAAAGGUGUUGGUACUGUGGCUUUUUUCAUGACAAAUUCAGGCGACAGGAAAUCUGCAUGUCCUCAUGUUGUGGCAAUGAAACCCUCUUACGGAAUUUCAUCUUUUAGCAAUUGGUGAAAAAAAUAUGAUAUUGAGCAUCAGAAGUGAUUUUUUUAUUCAUUUUUAUAUACAUAUGGAGUUUUGAAUUUGCUACUUAUAACUGCACUUUCCUGGAAAGGGAUCAAAAUAACAUGAGCUUUUAUUUUAUGAGUUAUUUUUUCCCUUUUUUGGUUAUGGGUACAGCACAAAGAUACACAUCAAGACUAUCAUUAAUUUUUAUCUGCAGAUCCUGGAUUACCAUUUAACAUGUCUCUGUAUAAGCUGUUCCUUAAUAAUAAGUUCUCAUCUAGUUUCUUUUAUAUCAAUUUGAAGAAUCCAAUUGAAUAAGAAUUAAAUUUGUGGAAAUAACUAGAUAUUCUUGGUGUGUAUCUUUCUAUUUUGGUUGCGCUGUCACCUGAAUAGUCAAGGAUUGUAACGUGGAUAAUCUUUAUAUUGCUCAAGCUAUUUAAAUAGAACUUUUGUUUUGUUGCUGUUUUGACUCUUGUUUAGUUAUUACACAAAAACUGUCAGUUAUACCUGUGAAACUUUGUAAUAUUCUGAAAGCAACUUGUUAUUGUGGUUCUUUACUUCCUCUUCCUGUCUCAUUGUUCUUUGCUUGCUGCAGAUGUGUCUUUAGUGCAAUAUCCAAGCUUAUUCGAGUUCCAAGACUUGGAUGCUAUUUUAUUGUUAUAAUAUUUUCAGAUCUAAUGACAAUUCAUUUCUUUUUCCUGGUAUGCUGCUCUUCCUAUUUCACCAUGUAUAUCUGUAGUAAUUUUGUGUUGUCUUUGGGGGUUUUAUUAUUGUACUUUGUAUUAUAUUACUGUAGUUCCAGUGUAGAUUAGAGCAUUUCAUUUCACACAUUCCAAUUAUAGCUGGCAGUUUUGCAGUGUUUGAUAGGCACUUGCAUAGUUCAUAUGCUAGGUUCUUUAAAAGACAUGCAAUCUGCACACCAAUCUAUGGUAGCUUCUUUUCUUUCUUGACUAACAUAUACACCUUUCAUGCUGAUGUCAAGUCAUGAACUCUAACUAAUAUGCAGGUUUUCAAGGUUCACUAUAUGAAUUAAUUGGUGAACACAAAACCACUGAAGUUAAGGCAGAGCCUCUGUUCUUUAUAACAUUAUAUAUUUUCACUUGAAAUGUGUUUUCUCAUAGUCAAAUGCUGCCACUGUAUCUUUACUGAAACUUGGACACUUCGGCUUUCCAUACUUGAUUAGGCAAAGAUCACCUACACACACACAUGAUUAGGCAAAGAUCACAAACACACAGGCAGAUUGUUACCUCAGUGGUUCUGAGAUCACCUACACACAGGUGAUCUCAAAACCACUGAAGUUAAGGCAGAGCCUUUGUUCUUUAUAACAUUAUAUAUUUUCACUUGAAAUGUGUUUUCUCAUAGGCAAAUGCUGCCACUGUAUCUUUACUGAAGCUUGGACACUUCAGCUUUCCAUACUUGAUUAAGCGAAGAUCACCUAUACACAGGCAGAUCAUUACCUCUUUUUGUACUUCGUAUCAAACAGUGAGAAGCUGGGAUUGGGCCCCCUUUCACAUUUAAAACAGAGAGUUGGCAUGAUCUUAUCUGCAAAGAUGUAGAAGUGAUGAAUCAUUUGAGGGAUCCAUGAAGAUUGCUAAUUAAGAUAUUGUUGUUUGCCAUAUAAUCUACCAUCUUAUGACAGUAAUUGACCAUGUAUUAACCUGCACUAAAAGUUAAAUGGGGACAUAUAUGUUCAUGAAUAAUAUACUUGGCAUAUUAAAGUGAAAUAUUUUGUGGAACAUAAGCAUCACAAUUUGGAAGCCAUAUUAAAGGUGGCUCAGUGUAUGAAGCUCUUACCAAUGUAGUUAUAUGCAUCCUAAGCAAGAGAAGUUUCCAUGAGUCUCAAAGCAAUGAUGACCUUGCCAAGGCUUAGGUCCAAAAGGAAACAAUAAGUUGGUCCAUUUUGGAGGUAGGUAAUGACAUAUACUAUCUCUAGCUAUAGGCCCUACUCGAAGGUGGGUUGAAAAAGGCAUCAACAUUAUGGUGUGGUCAUCAUAUGCUUAUAUUGUCCAAAUUAUGGAAUUAUAAUGAUAGUUGAAAUUUUACUUGUAUUAACUGCCAUAUCAAUCACGUGACUAGAGGGUACAUGUCAACAUACCAUCUGAUGUAUGCUAGUUGCAGUCUAAUAGGUUACUAAAACCGGUGUAUGACUGGUAUUUAGAUUCUUGAUCCAUAUAUUGUCAUCUUUAUGUCGCACCUAUUCUUCAUAAAAAAAGGUCCAAGGUUCCAGUCUUGAUGACAUUUGUCAAGUUAAAACAUUAUUUCUGUCAAUUCUGCCAGAUCUUCACAAAUGGGACCCUACAAUUUCUUGGGCUGCUGCUUAAAUUAAGCAAACAAGUAUUACCAUUGCACAUGCUCCUGUUUAUUUGAUAACUCAGUUUAUGGCAGCCAAAUCUCUAGUUGAGAAAUUUCAUAGAUAUCACAUGUUGAGUUGAAGUCCCAAACCAAGUGGGUCAAAUGAUGAAAAGUUAGAUUGACAGUAGGGAGUCGAGGAAAUAGAACAAGAUAACUGUUUACCAUUUUGUGAUUGAUUGAUUACACAAGUCCUGGUCCAGUUAGGAAUAUAUCCUAGCUUAGCUGUUGGUAUGAUUUUUGUUCUCUAGAUAUAGGGAAAGGUGAUUAAGGUGUGAUGUGUUGUGAAGGUGAGAAUAGUGAUAGUGCUGUGCCAUUAGUGGUGGUGAACAUGUGAGGCCUAGAGACAGGUUGUGUGUGAUGGAGAGACUAGAGUGCUGAGCAGUGCGCUUGCUACAGCUGCCUUGUGAGGAAAAGCAGCGAGGAGGUGCCACACUACGCGUGUAUGAGAUAGAAAGGGCUGUGACCUCAGUGCAUGAGUGGCUGUGAUGCAUGAAAAUGAUUGACAGGAUACUGAGGUGUUGGCCUGAGAGCGAUGCUCCAUCAAAUGACCGAAUGGAAAGAACGAGAGAGAUCAAGGAAAAGAAAUCUGUAAACUUCUGUGUGGAGUAAGCUUCAGUUGAUAAUAUUGUUUUGCAGUUUAUUACCUACAUCACAUCAAUUAGUUUAUCUUACUGAUAAAAACUUGCAUGUUGAUCAAGAUAGUAACUAUGAUUUAAACACAUGUAUAUAUGCCUUUAUAGACACCUUCAUGGGUGAAACCGUAUGUUUUUUUGCUCUUGAAAGUACUAUUUUAUGGAAAUUAUGCUUCAAACGUUUUUAUAUGUAGUUCAAAUUUAUUCCCUUUGAUGUGGUUACUUCACAAAUUAUCUUCCUCAAAGUCCUGUAGCACUCUUCAAUUGAGAUGGGAAAAUUACAAGUGAACUAUCGUUGAGGGACCAUUCCCGAACUGGUCCAAUUAUUAUUUAUGUCAGUUUUAUUGGACAAUUUCUGGUUAAUAAAGAUUGCAAGAGCUUUCAGCGUGAUAUUUAAUGAAAAGUUAUAGAACUCAGUAGAAAUGUCUUUGGAAAGACUUGAAAGCUGAGCCGCAUAGAUUAUUAAAGUAAUCAUGGUUACUUACUCAUGUUCAUCUUUACCAAACAGGUUCGCAACACUGGAAGUUGGAUGGAAAUUGGCAACAGUAUCAGUCAUUUUGGUCUUAUGAGUGCCCAAGUAGUAUUUGUUUUGCUGCUUUUGGCUCUUACUAGUAUUUACACAAAAGAUAUUGAAGUACCAUCACAGAAACUAUCUUGGGGAAAAGCAACUUGAGAUGCUACUUUCAGAUUUCUGACGUGGGAACUACACAAAUGACCCUUAUUCUUUUUCAAGUGAGGUAGUUAAAACAUCAGAGGUUUUUUUUUCUAAUGCCUCUAGAAUGAACAAUUUAUUGAAAUUUUGUGAACCAUUCAUGUAUUAAAAGUGUAAAUUUCUCUUAGGUUUUCAGGUGCUAUUUCUGAGUGUUCUCUGCACUAGUUGUAUUGCUACCUACUAGGCUACUUUCAAUUUCUUGUCAUUAUGGUUUUGCUUCAUGACUUUCGAAUUCGAGGAUUAUGUUUCUCAGCAACUUUGAUGAUUCGUUGUCGUCAAGCAAUUUGAAUCGAAUGGGACUCCCAGCUUCUUCCUUUGUCAUCCUAACAUUGAAGUAUUUAUAACAGAGAGCUCAUGGUCGAGCAGAUUUAACAUCAUUUUCCGAUGGAACUCGAGUUUAAUGAAUGAAUGAAUGUAUGUAUGCAUGUUUGUUUCCAUCCAAAGAAGAAGGAUUUAAGAUGGUGUCGUCGAGGUGCAGCAGUAUGCCUCGCCUCGCCUCACACAAUGCAGAAUAUCCCGGUGGCCCCCCACCGGAUCCUCCCUAAACUUUCACGACCAGCUUUAUCUAUCGAUCACUUUUGCUCACUUCCUCGUCGUCUGUGGGUGGUCUCUUUGGACAUCUAUCUACGCGACACUCGCAGCAACUUCCAUUGGUUGCUCCAAGAAAGCAAAGCAACAAAAAGUAAAGAUGAAGAGGAUAAAAGGCGAGCAGACCAGCAUAAAGCGGCCUCCCAACCAUAGAGAGAGGAGAGCAAAAAAUUAUUCUGGACUCUCAACCUGCACCUUCGUCUCUCUGUCUCCACGACACUCAACCCGGAAAACACAUCCAAACACUUGUUUGUUGUGUGUCUUUUCUUUCUUUCUUUCUUUCUUUCUUUCUUUCUUAAAUAUCGAACAAUUAUCACAAGAUAUAUAUAUAUAUAUAUAUAUAUACAUAUGAUUUAAAGACUAUACAUAUUGUCGUGUGAUAAGAGGUCCAAUACAAACUCAAUGAAAAUGAAGCAUCAAUGACCCUCACUGGCUCGUAGCACUAUAGUUUAAGAACAAUGAUGGCCUGAUAACAUAAAUUUGUAAUUUUUCCCUCCUUUUUCAAGAACAUUAUUCAGCAGGCAAAUCUGUGAAAAAGUUGCAAAGGUGUGAAAAAAAGAUCAUAGUCAGACAGACAGGAAGAUAUGGAGCUAACUUUUCCUCCAUCGAUCCUAUCUUAUCUUUUUUGGUUGGGUGUCUAAUUAGCUUGUGGGAACACUUUGACGGACCCAAUAGAAUCUCACACCAACUCGAAUGCUUAGGUUCUUCCACAAAUACCACUCGAUGUUUUCACACCACAAACGAAAACCCCUCAGGUAAAUUUGUCUCGUUCGUGUUCUAUCUGUACAUGUUCUAUCUGUCAAGCCACAGACAGCUUUUUUGUUUGUGGUGUAAAUAAAAUACAACAUGUUUAAAUGUUGUAUUCAGAUCAUUCCUUCAUGGCAUACAUCGAUUGUAAAUAUUAUUAGUAUUAUUUGCUACGAAGCUCGUUUGCUUCAUUAACAACUUCUUUUUAGGAGACUUAUAUUUGUUAGUUAGGAGAGUUAUGUCCACAGGAUGAUAAAGUUGACAUUAAUCUCGUGUUGCAAUACGUUUUCACGAUGUCUGCGAAUUGCAACCGAUUCAUUCAAAUGGCAUGUCAGAAUCAAUCUUAAAAGAACUUUCAUGACGGAGUCCACAGUCAGUCAUCUUUCUUCUCUGCUUUGAUUGGGUCAAAUAAUCUCAUUCUCGUGCUGAGGAAGGCAAAUUUCUACUGUGUGUUUUGUCAUAAAUUAAUAAUGGGAGCAUGGGAAACAUUCCCGACAUCAAAGGAGGAACGAGCCAUUUGUCUUGUCAGAUAGACACAAACAAAAAUAAGAUGCUCAUCAACCAUGGAGUUCAUCGUAUUCUGGGUUGAAAGAAUAUAAUACAUGGAUGCAAGAGGAAAGAAGAAGACAAGAUCAAAAAGAUGAUUGGGUCACAUAAAACCUUACUCGUUUGGUGGAAUUUCCAUGUUUGGAAUCGACAUCAAGCCUUUACUCAUUGGCUAAAGGCUGUGUGUUUUUGUCUUCGGACUGACUAGUUUCUACUAGAUUCUCUGACACUCGAGUCAGUAGAAGGAAGCGAGCCCAAUAGUUAUGGAUCAAUUAACUUGUGGGACAAGAAUUACUUACUAAUGAUUCAUUCAUUCAUUCAUCAAUCAAUCUUUCACGCUCCAAAUAAAAAAAAGUCCUAUUACUACAAAAAUGGUGCUACUUAAUAUUCACAAAACAUCUAUGAAUUACACCUAUACUACUUACUAGUCCACUAGAUUAAGACAACUUUACAAUCUAAAUACAAAUAUGUGAAGAUCCACCGAUCACAUGUUUAGAUUUUAUUUGGGUGUCAUUUAGAUUUGAGGAAAACAGGAAUCUAAAAUGAUAGAUUACAGACAUACUUCUAUAAUAAAUAGGCUUCUUCUAUUAUCAUUCAUGUCUUCGACAUUAAGUCUUCUUCUUCUUCUUCUUCUUCUUUCCCCUCUUCUUUUGUCCCGUAAAGUCGUCCUUUUUCUUCUUCCGAGAGAAGGCAAAGAAAAAAAAGAGGAUGAAAGGAUAAAGAACUGGCUGGAUUGGGGGUAGGGAAGCAAGCUGACAUGGGAAGCAGCAAGCUGCGGUGGAAGCUCUCCUUCCGCCGUCCCCCCGCCGCCGCCGCCUCCUCGCCGUCGCACUCCGCUUCGUCUUCGCCUUCCUUCACGACGGAGAUGCCGGUGGAGUUCCUCUGCCCCAUCUCCCGCUCCAUCAUGGCUGACCCCGUCAUCGUCCCCUCCGGCCACACCUUCGAGCGCAGCUGCAUCCAGGGCUGCCUCGACCUCGCCUUCCCCCCGCCAGGCCUCCCCCUUGACCUCCAACUUCCCUUCUCCUCGCCGGCAGCGGCGCCGCAACUCCUCCUCAUCCCCAACGCUGCCCUCAAGUCCGCCAUCUUCGCCUGGUGCGCCCGCUGCGGCCUGCCCCCUCCUCACCCCGUCCCGACCGAAGCUGCCCUCGCCCUCGUCCGCUGUCUUAUGCCCCGAGAUCGAUCUACUCCUCCUUCUGCCAUUGUCCCAGCCGCCACAGCAACGCCCUCUGAUGGCGGAAAAGACGAAAAUGAUGGAGCCUGCAAUGGAGGUAAAGGUGAGGAUGUGCGAGCUUCCGAGUUCUUCGAAGGCGGAAAGAGUCAGAAAGAUGACGUUUUGGCUUCGGAAUCGGAAGUGACGCUCAUCAUUCCUCCCUCUCCCUUCGAGCGAGAGCGGGAGAAGAACAAAUGUUCCAGCUCUUCGACGGUGUCUACUCCGUCGUCGUCCUCUUGUCACUCAUCGUCUUCCUAUUCUUCUUCUGAGAUCGUCGUCGUCGUCGUCGAUGAAAGGCUGGAUCGGGAGCGAAUUCCAAGCGUCGCCAAUUCGCCAUCGCUGAGGACGACCGAUGCGAUGGAAGAGAUCUUGAUCAGGUUGAGAGAUUUGGACGCCGGGCAGCAGGAAUCCGCCGCGGCAGCCCUCCGUAAGGCCACGAGGGAGAGCCGCGACCGGCGCGUCGCCCUCUGCACCCCGCGCCUCCUCGGCGCUCUACGCCCCGUGCUCCUCUCGCCCUGCGCCGCCGUCCAGAUCAAUGCCGCCGCGGCAAUUGUGAACCUAUCGCUGGAACCGGUGAAUAAAGUUAGGAUUUUGAGGUCAGGCAUGGUGCCAGCGCUCGUCGAGGUGCUCCGACGCGGCCACCCGGAGGCCCGCGACCACGCCGCCGGUGCCCUUUUCGGCCUCGCCCUCGAGGAGGAGAACCGCGCCGCGAUCGGCGUACUGGGGGCCAUCUCGCCGCUCCUCAACAUGUUCGCCGGUCCCUCCGCCGACGGUCCCCGCGCCCGCCGCGACGCUGGGUUGGCGCUCUACCACCUCUCCCUCGCCGUUGCCAACCGGUCAAAAAUCGCGCGCACUCCCGGAGCAUCGCACGCGCUGCUCGCGGUGGCGGCAGAGAGGGACGAGGAGGAUGCAGCCGCUCCGGGGGAGCAGGGGCAGGGCCUGGGGCCAGCGACGAUAGCGGUGAUGGUGAUCCACAACCUGGCCGGGUGCAACGAGGGGCGCGCGGCGCUGAUGGGUGCAGGCGCGGUGACCGCGCUGGUGAGGCUGAUCAAGGGACCGCCACUGACGGCGGCGGAGGAGGAAUGCGUGGCGGCUCUGUACUGGAUGAGCCAGGGGAGCCUGCGGUUCCGUUGUCUGGCAAAGGCUGCGGGGGCGGAACAGGUGCUGAUGAAGGUGGCGACGGAGGGCGGAGGAGGAGGACCCCUGCGGGAGAUGGCGAGGAGGGCGGUGAGGGCGAUGCGGAGGGAGGAAGACGACGAGGUGGCAGUGGUGGCCCACGGGUUCGGGGCGGAGGCGGACGGUAGCAGCGCCGUAUCGGACGGGCUGAUAUCGUUUCGGUGGCGUCGCAACGGCUUCGGUGGCAGACCGGGUGGCAUCAAGUCGGCCAAGUUCUGAAACGAGUCAACUCAGCAACGCAUGUUCAGUUAAGAGUUUGCGUCUUGUCUACUUAACACUUAUUUCUCGUACGAGUUUUUGUUAGGAGUAGUCAGUGUGGAAGUGCGUGUGCUUUUGUUUUUGAGCUCUUUGUAAAUAUUUUGGUUGAGAAGGGACUAUUGGAAACUUAUAGCUGACGAGAGCAUCGGAGAUGAUGCUUAUGUGGAGCUUUGGGAUUUGUAUUAGUAUCAUGAUUCUCUCUCUCUCUCUUUUUCUCUGAUGUUGAGGUGGAUGAAGAACUUGAUGUAUUUAUUUAGUUUGUUUUUUGUGUAGCUUCGGAAUUCAGGUAAUUUUGGACUGGUGAUAGAUAAUUGAAGAUUGCUCCAACGAGCAAUCACAUUUGAUAGCUUUCAUUCACUCUACUCUAUUUAAAGCAUGUUUUUUUAAGGGAAAAGAACAAAAGUGGCAAGCAAACUGACCGAUUAACCUUUGCCGUAUCAAUUUUUUUUUUAAAAUUUCAUAUGUAUGAUGUCAUAUAUCAGAUUUAUGAUUUUACAUACAACUCAAAAAACCAGUUGGACCGAGAAAAGGAAGGUUUAUCGCAUAAGAACAACAAAAAGAUUUUUUUUUUUUUUUUUGUGCAAGGAAAUCCAUCCAUGUACAGUAAAUAACAUUUUCAGAUUCUAAGUAAAGAAGAUCAAGAGAGAUUAAAUUGUAGAGAACAUUAUUUUAACUUCUCAAAGAAAGACUGGGAAGACCUCCUCUAUCAAACUAUACAACUUUCAAUUUACUUUUUCUUUGAACCAGUCUAUAAAGCCAAAAAACAUUUACAAAAAAAGAUAUCCUUUCCUAAAAGAUAUUCUCUUUUUGUAAGGCCACUAGGAAAAGAAAUUAUUCAGCGCCACAGUGUCACAGUGACAAAAAAAUUCUGCCCUUUCUUUUCUGAUUUAACAAAUAUCUUAAAAUUCUACCAUCCAAGUGGCAGCAUAAAAUUUAAAAUAGUCAAUUCAUAAUCAGUGGUCCUCAACAAAAAAAAGUAUUAUUACUUCUAAUCUCCUUCACUAAGUUCUUGAUUUUAGUCAAUGGAAUGCUAAACCGCUGUCCAAGCUGAUCUAUAAUCAUAUCAUCUAAAUACCUUGGCCAACUCUGACAACAAGUAGCACCACCACUAUGGCUUUGAAGUUUUCUCCUGCUCCACAUAUAAUCUAGUCCCCCUGUAAGAAUGAGGAUUUCUACAACACAUUUUUGACAAAGCAUUCGAUUUACACUGAGGAAUGCAAAUUUAGUCGUCUGCAAAGGUUGAAUUCAAAAUAAGCAUUGACGGAGGAUAAGAUCCUAAGGUUUAAUAUAAUCAAUGGCCCCAACAUGCGGCACAAAAACAACUAAGGCUUGGUCUUCUCACCGUUGCCGCUGUCUCGCAUGAGAUAAAGCUGCAAGAAGGAUCUUCCUAGGGCCCUACAAGUGAUACCAACAUGCAAACCAGAAAGGAAAAAUGUAACAUAUUUCUGUGAUCUUUAAACAUAAAUGUAAACCAUAUCAAAAGAAGAACAUGUAAAACAAACUUUUCACAGUUCAGAUUGAUGACAGCACUCCAGGAUCACAAUUUUCACAGUCAACAUAUAUAUAUAUAUAUCAAGUACAUACAAAAACCAAAGAAAGGAGGUCACUCCUCAAGACACAUAAUAGCAACGGAUUGCAGAUCAGUUGCUUCUCACAUACUAUGGAAGAAGAUAGAUCCCGUAUUAGCAGAUCUGAUUAUAAAUAAAUUCCCUAUUAUGCUAAGUUGACAUUAUGCAAACUCAUGACUCAACAUAUGGGAAACUAUUAAUGACAGAAUAUUGUCCACCAAUAUUUUUUCAAAUUUUAUUAUCGUGGUCGAUGGUGAAUUAAAAAUUAAUGACCUAAGGAUACAAGUAUGACAAUGAACCUUCAACUCCAAACUUCCAUCAAAUUAUCAUAAACAAGAAUGCUCUUAGAACUUAUAGUUGAUUUCAUAACCAGAAUACAAUGAAUAGCUUCUUUUAUAGUCACUAACACAAAACACCAGAAAAACAUUUUUUAUAAAUAAUCUUUUUUUACAGCAGAAAAUAUGGUCAACUCAACUUAGAUGAUAAAUUUAGUUGAUCAGUCUCUAUUUUACUUAUUUUCUUUACUAAUUUCAUGCUAUAAUAUAAGACAAACAACUACAUAGAAGAAACUACUAAAAGAAAUUACCAGAUUAAAAAACCAAAUAUAAGAAAGGGAACAAAAGAAAGAGGCUGUGCUGGUCUCACAUGCCACUGCCAAUUGAUGAUUUUUGGUCACAAUGGUGAGGCUAUACGGUUCAUGGGAUAGAACAAUAAGUAUCUUAGUGGCUCUUGACAAUGCCUGACAUUAUAGUUUGCCAUGCAUCCACAUCCUAUAGCAUGCACUGGCAUGCAAUGGAGCGCAUCAGCAUGGUAUCUGCCUUUAUAUGCAUUGCUUGUAUAACAUAAAAUUGAGUCCUAGCAAGAACCAAUACUGUGAUCCCCACAAAGUCAGCAUGUUAUGUACAUAUUGUGGGUAUACAUGCUCACCUGAUGAUGAAAUUAUAAUUAAAUGUAUAAAAUCUGUUUCCUCGGCUGUUGAAACAUUCUAAGCUUUCUAUUACAUAGAUUAUAUUUGUUAAAAUUUAAAAAAUCUUUUAACAGAUCUAGAGCAACUGAGAUGAUGCUUGGUACACUAUACAUGCCCAAACAUGAGAUUAUGCUUAAUUUAAAAUAUGUCAUCCACAGAAUCUAUCAUUUUCCAAUUUUUCACGAAAGCUUUAGUGAUCAUUUGAUAUGAAGUGAAAUAAAAUAGUUUAAUUUCUUAUUACUACGGUUGAAACCAUUUUACCCUUAAGUCAAUAAUGAAUGCUCACCAUUCAGGAAAAUUGCAUAAACAUUGAAAUAUAUUGUUCAAACUUCAAAUGAUGCUAGUUCAUCAAUGUUUUUAUUUAGAAAAAGUAUAAUAAACCAAACAAUACAAUUCAAUCCUACAAGGCAGGUUAGGUUUAAAUUAUUUCAACACCAUAAAUUUAAAAAUCCAUUAAAAAAAUUAAUAAUGACUAAUAAGAAGGGUGACAGAGUGAUGGAUCACCCAAGUAUAUGCUUGCACAAUGUAGAUAUAAUGUAAAAUACAUGUGCCAAGAAAAUCUAGCCUUUGAAGACAUUUCUUUGCAUAAUCAAUGUGAUUCUAUAAGAAAGCGAAGAAAAUAGUGCCAGCGACAUAAACUUACCAUGGGGAUUCCCAAUUCUUUUAGGUCACUGUCUCCCAUCUGCCUUAAUGCAGUCAUGUCAACCUGAAACCAUAUGCAAUGCAGUGAUUACAAAAUUCUGUCAGAUCAAUCUUAAGCAUUUUAUCUGUAACUAAUGGUUGUUGAAGAACUCUUCACCAAAGGGUUUGAAACAAAUGGUUGAACCAUAAAUUUCAUAUGUAAUAUUUUUGUGAGACUAACUGCAGACAGGGCUUCUUUAGAAUGACUUUUAUCAUACAAAAUGAUGCGAUUAGAAAACACUUAUCUCCAACUUAAUAAAGUAUUAUUAAGUGUCAAUUAUUAUUGCACACUGAAUAAAAUGGAGAAAUUAACAUGAAAUGUUAUCAUUUGUGAAUGAACCAAAACAAACCAAAAGCUCAAGAAAGGAUUGGCGGCACCCUGAGAUUAAAUAUUCUAAUUGAGCUGCAAAAGGAACAUCUUGAAUAAGGAUAAUCAUGACUACAAUUGCAUGGCUAAGACAUUAUCAAGUUAGCAACUAAAAAUUACAACCAAAGGAGUAGUAGGAAUAAAUUUAUUCUUGGGUCAGGUUUAGUUGCUUUAAGAUUUCUCAUCACAUUUUGGAAAUUUUUUGAGAUUUUAAGAUAGCAAUAUUAUUGUAACCAUUAGUCAGUUUUGGCAAACUAUGGUCGUGUCCAUUCAGAAUAAUUUAUUUUUUGCAGUGGGGUCUAAAGUAGAUUAGACAUCCUAUUUUGGUCCAAACAAUCCCAAAAUCAAGUUUCUAAAUCUUAUAAUUUUUGUCUAAACUUUUGUGUCCAUUUUAGCAUUACAAACAUAGCAUACAUUGUCUAGAAAUGUAUAAAGAAACAUCGAUAGAAAAAGAAUAAGUUUCCUUAAAUACUAUUCUAGAUAUCAAACAUACAUGCCCCCUAGAAUAAUUUGGACCAAUCUACAUGAAGGCAUGCAUACAUGAGCAUUAGCAUGUUUAUACAUAAUCUUCAUGGCAAGAUUUUAAAUCCCAGUCCGGUCUGACAUCAGUCCUUGCUCGGACUGGUAAAUAUCAAUUGGUAACAUAACCUAGUAAAAUUCUAGGCCAUAAAAGAAAAUUGUUGUCACAAUUUAGUUAGACUAAGAUUUAGCAUGGGCACAAUAGCCAAAAUACAUUAGCAUUGUAAAUAAGAGUUCUUAGUGAGUUCAUAAGUUAAGCAUGCUAUUCAAAACUUCAACCACGAGAUGCGACAGUCACUCUGACCAGUCAAAUUCUCAAAACAGUUAAACUACAAAUACCUACACAGAAAUAUAACAGUGGCAAGAAACACAAGAAUUUGACAGAAAAUAAUACCUCUUCUGCCUGAAAGAGUAUGGCAUAUUUUCCAAGCCCUAAUGAAUGUAGCAAGCUAGCAACUGUAAGAGGUUCCUCAGGCUGCAGAAGACAAAAAACCUCGAGGCGUUUAUGAAGGAAUCUUUGCCUGUAUAUAAUACAAGGCAAUACACAUAAAAUAUAUUAUUAAAGAAAAUGGUCAUCACCAAAGUUAAUGUAGGUAACCAUCACUCAUCUUGCAAGUUGUAACAUAGCAAACUCUUGAAUUAGUCCACAGCAAUCCUAAAUGCACACACUUGCAAAGAGAUGCAGAAGUCAACAAGGUCUGGAUCUUAUGCCUCAAUUGGCUGAAGCUCAGUGCCUUCAAUAAGAAGUGUCUUAUGUGCACACAUUGUUAAAAAAACAAUGCACAAAAGGUGAUCUUACAAUAUAUAGCUGCAAUAAUCUUACUACUACAAUGGUCAUCAAAGUUGUACCAAGAUAUACUAUAUCAACCAAAGAUUGAUGUGCUGUGCCAGAAAGGCAUGUUAAUUGGCCUAUCCAUAUCUUGCCUUGGCAUAAGUCAAUAUGACACACUGGCAAGCUCAUGAUGAACGGAGGAACUUUUUUUUGUGAAAAUAGAGGAUGAAGAGAGAGGAAGAAGAAGAAGAAAAUAACGAUAAAAUAAGACAACUACGAGAUUCUGUCUCUGGGUUAAGGUCUCACACCUUCGCACAUGAAGAAUGGAAUCAUCCCAUCGGAAAAACACAUAUGGUCUCAUGCCACUAACACAUAAUAUGGAAAAAGAACCUAAUUAAUUGAUCUAUUUUUUUCUGGUAAUGUUUAAUUACAAUCUUUUGACUUCUUUAUAUGUUCCUCAAGUACAAAAAAUGAAAAUAUAAAGAUAAAAAUAUAAUGAUAUCAAAUCACAAAUCAUUUGUUCUUUCCUUCUUCGAAGAAGAUAACAUUCCGAAUUUGACCUGUAAAUAAUCUUCAAUUCUGAGUCUCUGACAAUAUCCUUGAUUGACUUCCAUUUUUGUAUAGAUAAAUCUUUCAUAAAUUUUUCAAUCGGAUCUAUAAUCAUCAAUCAAAAUCAAAUUUUGAUUUCUUCCAUUUUUCCACAUUUUCUUCCACUUUCUUCACCUUGGAGUAGUCUCGGAAAUUAGAUUUAAAAAUAUGCUAGAUGUUUGGUAGUAUGUGAGUUACAAUCUUUUACAACUAGAUGAUUAAAGUUUGUGUACAAUCUUCUUUGUUCUAAGAUCCUUAUUUUAACUGACAGCAAUUCAUAAACAAUUAAUCCUAAACAUGGAUAUCAUGCCCAUCAACCAGCAAUCAAGUUCUAUUUGACAUAGCCAUAUUGCACAAUGAGUAAUUAUCAAAGGAUGGGCAAUCCCCAUGUGACCAAUUAUCAGUCAAAAGCUACUGUGGAUAGUUGGCAAGUAUCAAAGGCAAUUCCUCAGAUCAAAUGUUCACAUUUCAUCUGGAGAGGUACAAGUCAAGAAAAAAAAAGAUUCACAGAAAUGAGGAGCAAUAUGUAGGGGUUAAAUAUAUUACCUUAAGGACACUUCUUGGCUCAAUAAUCCCUGGUGCAGGAGCUCGAACAACCGGAUUUGCAUUCACACUCAUGUCCUUCGCCAUAAAAUUAAGAGAUCUGGAAGCAUCACCUAUCCCACUAUUUGUCAGAAAACUAGAGGGUCUAGAAGCAUCUAUAGAUCUUAUAGCAGAUGCAUGCCGCAGCUCCUCAUAUCUUCUAGAAGGAGGCAUGUGCCUUUGAGUGCUGAUAAACCUAUCCGGAGAACCAAGCCUCUGCCGGUCAGAUGUCCAAGAGUAAGACUUUCUAUGUGAAUCCAAUUCCAGUAAAUCAUCUGCACUUCUUGUGGAAGGUAUUCUCCUUCCAAGGCCAGAGGCACUUGAUUCUGUUACAUGUCGGGAAUCAGAUCUGCUAGAAGCCUGUACAUUUCGAGAGAGUUUUUCACGUAGGUCGACAUCACGUUGUCCUUCAGCAUCAAGAUUUCUUCGAGAUAAGCUUUUCUUCAUAAGUUUCCAUCUCAGAUCAUCUCUUCCAACCCGAUGAUCUUUAUAAAUUAAGGUAUCAACAAAUCAGGGAAAAGCAAGUUCAACAGAAAACAAUUAAUUCUGAGAUCUUUAAAUGGAUACCAGUUUUGAUUUGUUUGUCCCUCAUAUUCUUAUCAAUGAAUCUUGAAUCAUGGCCGUCAGUCCUUUGACUGUAAAAACAGAAGCAAUAGCACCAAACACAAUGAAUUAUAAAGCAAAAUUUGGUUACUCAGUAAAAUGGGAGAAAUAUUAAACAUCAAAUCAGAAUAAUAGGCCUAAAAUAUUUUAUCAUAAGGCCAAGAUCUUGACCCAACAAGUUGCUUUGUCAAGCAUCUGAUGUACAACUCAGAGCUGCUAAAGACCAAAUCCCAUCGCAGCAGAAUCUCUGUUAAGUGCUAAACAACAACCUCUGGAAGCAAAAAACUGUUCAACAAAAACAGAUGUUGUUCUUGUUAUCCAGUCUUUAUCAAGUCACCAAACAUUGGUCCAAGAUCAUAAAUAUCAGAAGCAAUAUCCACAAGUAAGAUUGAAUCAAGAGAAUAAAGAGAAAUAGAACUCAACAAAAACAAAUAGUCAAAAGUUGAUUCAUUACUAAUAACAAAAAUGCAUAUUUAUACAAGAAGCAUUUGAAAGGUUAUAAAAAGCUGAACUCAACAUAAUUCUAAAGCUUGACGCUAUCAGCCAGUACUAACAGCAAGAGUACACCCAGCCAAGCUGUCCAGUGGGAAAGAAUAGGCAUAUAUACGUAACCUGUUGAAUUUCUCUAGCAACAAAUGAAAUGUGGAGAUAGUUGUUUCAAAAUGAAGAAUCAUCCAUCAAAAAGUGAAUAUUUAUCUAAAAAAUGGUCCCACAUAUGUUUUAUUGUCGCACAGAACUAUUGAGACUGAAAAAGGAUGACCAUGAGCCAUUAGAAAGAGAAAAACACACCGUUUGUUUUCGUACUGCCUUCUAUAAGAAUUGUAAUUGGCCGUGUUACUUUCCAACCUUUCUCUCACCGACCUUUUGCCUCCUAAGGAAGGCAUGUCAUCAACAGAAUGACUACCAUCAACUAUAGGUCUUGCUCUCUUGACAACCUGCAAACAUUACCAAGGAAACAGGUCAAGGUAGCUAUUCAUAACUCCCUCAGAAAAGAGAUUUUUUUCACCAGAUAAAUACUCUGAAACUUUUUUUUUUCUACAUGACAUAAGCAAAUGCCUUCCAAGCAAUUUCAAGUAAGGAAUUUGCACAAGUUUUAAUAUGGCUAAUAAUAAGCAAAUCGUAUAAGAAAUGGUAAGUUACUUACAGAAUAAAAAAACAAAUAAAUAAAAUGUAUGUUCCUAGAUCAUAAAGGAAAAGAUAAUUAUACUACAUCGGCCAAUAAUAGAUGCAAUACAUAAGCAAUUUAAUGGUUCUCUAACUUUUACCUCAGCCCUCUACUAUGUCAACUUACUUUCACUAUUAACACAGAAAUUAAUUCAACUUAUUGCCACAGUGGUUAAGCUUUUAAGGUCCCAAUUGGAUGGAGAUAAUAAUUCAAUCCCAAUUGUAAACCACAAAAAUUUAUCAAAACCAGUAAACUAAAAAACACAAAUUGAACAAUAAAUUCCAUGGGAAGGAAGAAAACAUAGCAUCUCAUCAAUGCUACAUAAGUCUCGAGGCAACAAAUGUUAGUCAAAUCACUGUCAACAUUAAUGAGCUCAACUUCUUGAGCAGCAGCUUCCAAGAUGUCCAAUGGCAAAAACUGCAGCAUCCCACAGCAGCAGUAUCAAGCCGCAUAGGCAGCAACAGCAUUGUAUGGCAGCAAUGGCUGUUUUUUUAGUCCCCCACCCUCGCCCCCCUCUUCUUCUCCUCACAUUCUCUCCUUCCAUCCUGCUUCUCUUUUCCUUUUCUUCCAACACAACUGCUACAAUCGGUGCAACCAUCCAAUAAGCAACUCCGGUACGAUCCAAACAUCAGAUCCAAUAUAUGUCAAUAAAGUGCUCUUCAACACCCAAGUCCAGAUAACAUUGAUACCCUGGGUUCACAGGUUUAUAUGUAAGCAAAAAUAAGCUCAAUGGAUGAACUGUUAACCUCAGUUCCUUUGAUGCAUUUAACAACACAAGUAGCCCAAUGCUUGAACAUAGAUUUCUCUGUAGGCUAAUGAUAAAUCCAGAUGCUUCAAAGUUCAAACAAUAUAAUAUAUCAAAUAUUUUGAAUACUGAAUAUCCAUUAAAACAAGGUGAUGAUACAUCACAUAUAAACUACUUAGAUGUAGAAUUCUAUAUGACAAACAAGUGAAGUAGCAACUAAAAACUACAAAAGCUAUGCUUUGUACUAAGGUUGGAAGUCAUGUGAAACUUAGAGUUUGUGAUUAAACAUAAUUCACUAGGUGAAUCCUCAUCAUUUUAAUACCCAAAACAUUUGCUUUAUUUCCAAACACAUUGGAUUCUUGAAAUAACCAUAAGCUACUGAAAAACUAACUUUCUAGCUUCUUUCAUGCAAAGGAGAUUUUUUUUUUUUUUAUCCUCUUUGCCUGAUCGACACCAAAGUAAGAUAAGUUCUUCUUGAGAUAACAAAAAAAAAAUCUAUAAAUUUUUAUUAUGAAUACCAAUUGAAAAAUAGGGAAAGAAAAUAUUUCCUUUAUUCAGGAAACAAGAAGUAUAAUACCACCAACGGUCAUGGAUACCAUACUAUCAAUUAUUAUGUCAUCAGUUGAAAAAGAUCAAGAUGGACAUCAAUUCAAUAGUUCUCGGUCAUCCUUGGAAUGGUUGUUUGACACAGAAGGUAAACCAUACAAUACUUCUUUUAAUAAAAGCACAGGAGGACAUGCAUUUACUUUUUGAUAAUCAAUCUUUUAGCUAUUGUAUGUCCGAGGGACGUAUUUUUAUGAUCUCCAAAAGGAUUUCCAAAUAGUAUUAUCAAUGAGACAAAUCCAAUGAUCUGCAAUGAUCCAAGCAUGCAUACAUUCCCAUGUGGCUCAAAUUCAAAUCUAUGAAUAUGAUUUUUAUUAAUCUAUCAAAUGAUAUAUGCACAUGUCAACGAAGUGAACGAUGAAUGUAAGAAAUUUUAAUAAACAAAACAUGUAACAGAUUCUUACAAAAACAUAAGCAAGGGACGAUUUUUGUUCUUAAAGAAAAAGGGGCUUGACAAUUUUUGUUUUCUAGGAAUGAGAAAGAACCAAUGAGGUAUGCUAUUAAGGAGAUGGACUCAUAUCUAACCAGUCAAAAACAAGACUGAAAAUCACUCCAAGUGUUCGCAAAAACAUGUCCCGAUUGCGAAACGAUAUAAGAAAUUCUCUUCACACAAAAACCAAAGGGCACCCGCAAAUGCAAGCCACCGAACCAGUAGAGUUGACGUCUAAGGACACUAAAUGGCGAACGUACGUCAGCUCUUGAUUACCAUUACCUAACCCUAGAGCAGAAGGCCCAAAUCAAGCACCUCUAGCCGAAGAAGAAGCGUAGACAUCACAUGAUCCUAAAGAACAGAUGCACAAAAGGGGGGAGAAUGUGAUUCGAAAGAGAAAGAGAGGAGGAAGAAGGAUUCACCUGACCGCUUCGGCCUAGAGUAAUGGUGAACUGGGGGCGAGCGGACAUCUGCUCUUCUUAUCGUCCUCCUCGAUUAUUUUGUUCCUUCACUAACAAUUCCUCGCUCGAAUCAGAAACCCUAACAAACCAAGACGGAAAGAGAUCAGGCUCUUGCUCUCGCCCGAGAGAGGCGAGAGACGGACGAGGGUUGGAGGAGACCAGCAGAAGGAGAUGCGGGGAAAGGGGGGAUCAUUUAUGUACCUCGGAGCGUUCACUAAUCGUCAAUCAUCAACACGAAACAAACCAUUCAAGAGAGGAGGGGGGGAGAGGAGGCAACGAGGAAAGCCUGGACUCGACAUAAAAAUAGCUUAUUACUAUUGUUUAUUACCACUACUUUCUUUUUCUUUUUCUUUUUCUUUUUCUUUUUCUUUUUUUUAAUCCUUUUCUAUUUUCCUUUUUUUAUUCCGAUUUAUUUCAUUUUUCCGGUAAAGUAUCCCUAAUUUUCAGGAAAUUAUUUUUUACGUAAUACGUAGAAUAUCCUAAAUUUGACAGCUACUUACCGACCUUUUUCUUUCUCUUUCCCUUAAAUCGAUCCAUAGGGUAAAUUAGUCAAGUUAUUUUUAUCAUUAUUAAGAAAUUAUUAUAUUAUUUUUUAAAAAAAUAUUAUAAUAUUUCCUUAAUAUUACUCAAAAUAUUAUAAUAUUAUGUUACUGAUCAUUUCAUAGAAAAAAAAAAAGAGAAAACACAGAUAGAUGGCUAAGGGUAUUAUUCCAAGUAUUAGAUUAAAAAAAUAAUAUAUAUAUAUAUAUAUAUAUAUAUAUAUAUAUAUAUUAUAUCCCCACUUUGUACUAAUUUUGUUGUUUUUUUUGUUGUUUUAAUUAACUAAAAGAUUUUACUUCACAUAAUUCUAUCAUAUUUUGUAUGUCGUAAAUAGUUCUUAAGUGUCCUCUUCAAAAAAACAGAAAUAUAGUAUAGUAGAAACGUUUAAAUUAGUUUGAUUCUUUAAAUCGAUAGAUGAUGAUUCAUUAGCAUUAGAUGUACACAAACAAACAAUCUAUAGAUAAUUGCACAUUUGAUGCUUGUUUGAAAAGGUGGCCAUUUGCAAAUUUUCUACGUUGAGGUGACAGGAAUGACUAUUUUGAUCUAUUAUAUUCUUAGUGCACCAAUUAUGCUAAAGGUUCUCGUCUAUUUUUUUGAACUUAUCAGUGCACCAGUUAUGUUGUUCAUAGAAAUCCGAUCUCGAUACAUGUCAAUUGAUAGUAUGUUCAUACGAAGAUAAGAUUAUUAUUGAGUAAUACAUGACAUUGGGUGACUAAAGUGAUGACAUAUUAGUUGUACGUGAUGUUAACGUGUCAGUCAUAUCAUAUUAGAUAUGAUAUGAACUGAGGAGGAUUGUAAAUUUGGGUCAAGAAAUAUUAUUCACUAAAGGCCUAAUGAUAUAAAAGAAUAAAAGAUGUAACACUAAAUUUUCCAUAAAGUUGGCAUAAGUUAAUUUGCCCAACCUAGUCUACUUGACUUGGUCGAUCCAACUUAAUCCUUUCGUCGAGCUCUCUAUCAAUCUAAUACGUCGACGAUAGUGGUGAAGUGGAAUAAUAUGACUGGUUACAACGCUGCAAUAAAGUGCAUCAAGUAAGUGUCAAUGGCAUUGUUCCAAUGAUUACUAGAGUCCAACAUGAGGGUCGAAGAUUUAGGAUUUCCUGAUGCAUUAGUUUAAGAAAAUAAAGGGUGACAACGGAUUGAGAAGCUAUGCUAAGUGACAUGCUACGAGUCAAAUGACUAGGUGCAAAGAUACAUGAAGGGCCACACGAUCUAGUGCAACAGCCCACAAAGAGCCAAAAGACUAAGUGCAUUGGCAUAAUAGGAUUAAGUGACUAGAAACGAUUGCACACUUAGAAGACUAGGUGUGGUGGCACGAUAGGGUUAGGUGACCAGGCAUGGUGGCGCACCUAGAAGGUUGGGAGUGAUGACAUGAUAAGAUUAGUUAAUCAGGCGUAGGAGUGCACAAAGGGUUACGAGGCCGAGUGUGGUGGUGCAAUAGGAUUAGGUGACCAAGCACAAUGGUGCACAAAGGGCUACGAGGCCAAGUGUGAUGGUAUAAUAGGAUUAGGUGACCAAGUACGAUGGUGCACAAAGUGCUACGAGGCCUAGUGUGAUGGUGCAAUAGGAUUAGGUGACCAGGCAUGAUGGUGCACAAAGAGCCAAAAGGCUUAGUGCACGAUAGCGUGAUAGGAUCAAGUGAACAUGUAUGGGGGUACACAAAGGGGCCACGAGGCUGGUGUGAUGGCAUGUGUUACAAGUGUCACCAUUAUACUAGGUGCAAGGAUCCAAUUGAUGCGCAUGCAAGACAUGCCACCCGAUUGAUGAGCAAGAGAAUAUAAGUAGAUUCGGGCAUAGUUGUAUAUGUAAUACUCACCCGCUAGCAAAGAGGAGUCAUGUUAAAUGGCCUAUUGUCGUGUGACCAUUACGUAAAUUAUGACAGAUUCAAUCAUGUUCACAAUGACAAUCUAUCUAGCCACUCAAGCCAGAUGAUGCCAUGCAUCUUGGGCUAUGGGAUGGUCGGGUAGGUGACACAUCAUCUUCACCUCAUAUAAAUACCUAUUAGUUGCUUCAAGAAUUUCUCACUUGCACUUGUAAUCAAAGACUCUUGCAACGAACUCCUAAAACAUCCCAACAAUCCUAUUUAAAGGUCUGCAAUGUCUUCCUCAACUUCCUCCUCUAUCACUCUAGACUCGAAUAGGAUAUUAUCCUUGUCACCUCCCUUGGUAUCGGUAAUAGAAGCUUUAGCUAUAGAAGGAAUCGAAUCGACCACUUUGAAGGAGGCUACCCCCAUAGCAGAGGCGAAUUUAUCAUGUAGUGUGGCUCCGCCACCUGGUGUGGAGUCUUUUGACUUUGACUCAUAAUGAAGGCCUCCGACUUGGAUAUUCUCCGGGAGGUCUAUCAUAUUCCAUUCAAGUUUGAGCUAGUGUCUACUUGGUUAGAUGAUCAACCUUAUGUACCACGUCAUAUAUUUUGCACUAGCAUGGAUGCAUUGGAGGCAAGACUUUGCUUUCUCCUUCAUUUUUUUUUAUUGAGGCUUUCAACUAUUGGAAGUUCUCACCCACCUAGAUGGUGCCAAAUUCUUUUCGAGCUGAUUUUUGAGAAAACUCACCAAGCUUGACUCUUGACCUUACAAAACUAAGUCCAGAGACAAUCCCGAUAGAAUAUUCCUCCAAAAUUCAAGUUAGUAUCAAUUUAGGACAAAGAAAAUUAGUUAACAAAGAUAGACUAGUUUGACGAGUUUCUUUUUAUCUAAUAUCUUUGGACAGUAACCCCUUUUAUUUCAUCUAUCCAAGGUGGUUGUGCCUGUUGAUUUUAAUUUUUCAUAACAGACAUUACACCAUAUUUUUGUUAUACAAAGNNNNNNNNNNNNNNNNNNNNNNNNNNNNNNNNNNNNNNNNNNNNNNNNNNNNNNNNNNNNNNNNNNNNNNNNNNNNNNNNNNNNNNNNNNNNNNNNNNNNNNNNNNNNNNNNNNNNNNNNNNNNNNNNNNNNNNNNNNNNNNNNNNNNNNNNNNNNNNNNNNNNNNNNNNNNNNNNNNNNNNNNNNNNNNNNNNNNNNNNNNNNNNNNNNNNNNNNNNNNNNNNNNNNNNNNNNNNNNNNNNNNNNNNNNNNNNNNNNNNNNNNNNNNNNNNNNNNNNNNNNNNNNNNNNNNNNNNNNNNNNNNNNNNNNNNNNNNNNNNNNNNNNNNNNNNNNNNNNNNNNNNNNNNNNNNNNNNNNNNNNNNNNNNNNNNNNNNNNNNNNNNNNNNNNNNNNNNNNNNNNNNNNNNNNNNNNNNNNNNNNNNNNNNNNNNNNNNNNNNNNNNNNNNNNNNNNNNNNNNNNNNNNNNNNNNNNNNNNNNNNNNNNNNNNNNNNNNNNNNNNNNNNNNNNNNNNNNNNNNNNNNNNNNNNNNNNNNNNNNNNNNNNNNNNNNNNNNNNNNNNNNNNNNNNNNNNNNNNNNNNNNNNNNNNNNNNNNNNNNNNNNNNNNNNNNNNNNNNNNNNNNNNNNNNNNNNNNNNNNNNNNNNNNNNNNNNNNNNNNNNNNNNNNNNNNNNNNNNNNNNNNNNNNNNNNNNNNNNNNNNNNNNNNNNNNNNNNNNNNNNNNNNNNNNNNNNNNNNNNNNNNNNNNNNNNNNNNNNNNNNNNNNNNNNNNNNNNNNNNNNNNNNNNNNNNNNNNNNNNNNNNNNNNNNNNNNNNNNNNNNNNNNNNNNNNNNNNNNNNNNNNNNNNNNNNNNNNNNNNNNNNNNNNNNNNNNNNNNNNNNNNNNNNNNNNNNNNNNNNNNNNNNNNNNNNNNNNNNNNNNNNNNNNNNNNNNNNNNNNNNNNNNNNNNNNNNNNNNNNNNNNNNNNNNNNNNNNNNNNNNNNNNNNNNNNNNNNNNNNNNNNNNNNNNNNNNNNNNNNNNNNNNNNNNNNNNNNNNNNNNNNNNNNNNNNNNNNNNNNNNNNNNNNNNNNNNNNNNNNNNNNNNNNNNNNNNNNNNNNNNNNNNNNNNNNNNNNNNNNNNNNNNNNNNNNNNNNNNNNNNNNNNNNNNNNNNNNNNNNNNNNNNNNNNNNNNNNNNNNNNNNNNNNNNNNNNNNNNNNNNNNNNNNNNNNNNNNNNNNNNNNNNNNNNNNNNNNNNNNNNNNNNNNNNNNNNNNNNNNNNNNNNNNNNNNNNNNNNNNNNNNNNNNNNNNNNNNNNNNNNNNNNNNNNNNNNNNNNNNNNNNNNNNNNNNNNNNNNNNNNNNNNNNNNNNNNNNNNNNNNNNNNNNNNNNNNNNNNNNNNNNNNNNNNNNNNNNNNNNNNNNNNNNNNNNNNNNNNNNNNNNNNNNNNNNNNNNNNNNNNNNNNNNNNNNNNNNNNNNNNNNNNNNNNNNNNNNNNNNNNNNNNNNNNNNNNNNNNNNNNNNNNNNNNNNNNNNNNNNNNNNNNNNNNNNNNNNNNNNNNNNNNNNNNNNNNNNNNNNNNNNNNNNNNNNNNNNNNNNNNNNNNNNNNNNNNNNNNNNNNNNNNNNNNNNNNNNNNNNNNNNNNNNNNNNNNNNNNNNNNNNNNNNNNNNNNNNNNNNNNNNNNNNNNNNNNNNNNNNNNNNNNNNNNNNNNNNNNNNNNNNNNNNNNNNNNNNNNNNNNNNNNNNNNNNNNNNNNNNNNNNNNNNNNNNNNNNNNNNNNNNNNNNNNNNNNNNNNNNNNNNNNNNNNNNNNNNNNNNNNNNNNNNNNNNNNNNNNNNNNNNNNNNNNNNNNNNNNNNNNNNNNNNNNNNNNNNNNNNNNNNNNNNNNNNNNNNNNNNNNNNNNNNNNNNNNNNNNNNNNNNNNNNNNNNNNNNNNNNNNNNNNNNNNNNNNNNNNNNNNNNNNNNNNNNNNNNNNNNNNNNNNNNNNNNNNNNNNNNNNNNNNNNNNNNNNNNNNNNNNNNNNNNNNNNNNNNNNNNNNNNNNNNNNNNNNNNNNNNNNNNNNNNNNNNNNNNNNNNNNNNNNNNNNNNNNNNNNNNNNNNNNNNNNNNNNNNNNNNNNNNNNNNNNNNNNNNNNNNNNNNNNNNNNNNNNNNNNNNNNNNNNNNNNNNNNNNNNNNNNNNNNNNNNNNNNNNNNNNNNNNNNNNNNNNNNNNNNNNNNNNNNNNNNNNNNNNNUAUAUAUAUAUAUAUAUAUAUAUAUAUAUAUAUAUAUAUAUAUAUAUAUAUAUAUAUAUAUAUGACAAGAAGCCAUCCGUCGAGACUGUUUCUUUGAGAAAUUGAUCAAAUUUGGGUAUUGUUAGCCACAAUCAAGCCAACUGGUGUGCAAUAUAUCUACAUGCUCAGUUUGCUGAAUCCAUUAGGUAGAAUGCACACAGAAAUAUACAAAGCCAUGUCUAUGGGUUUAAAUCAUGGAUAAUCUUUGAAUAAUGAUAAGAAUAACCAUGGUAGAAGACCAAGCAGAUUUUUUCUUCUUCUGGGAUUUCGGUCAUAUCAAAAUUGUAGAUAUCCAACCAAAAAAAAAAAAGUCACAAACCUCCACCAGGUUUAACAAAAACCAAUUAUUUUGUGUUUGAAAAUUUAUAUAUAGAAAACUGAACAGAUAGAUAUAUAUCUAUUUGAGAGAGAUGGAUUAAUAGAUUGUAUGUAUUUUCAGAAGUUAUAUUUUGCAUAUAACAAUUAUCUGUCCAGUGAACCUGAACAAUUUCACUUUUCAUGGUUAAGCUAUGAUACUCCUCUCCUGAUUUAGUCUGAAACAUUACAAGUAAGCUAAUGCUUAGAUUAUAGAGAUUAGGAUUUGAUCAAUAAUAAAUAUAUUAUUAUUAUUAUUAAUUUUAACUUAAGCAUUUUGAUCUACUAGUUUAGGCUCAACCGAUUUAUUUGGCUACUUAUCCUAUUGGAUCAAAUUAUGACAAUUGAAAUAAAAAGCAAACAAGAACAAAAAUAAACUUUUAAAUCUCAUGUACAAUCUAUAACUUAAAACACUCCCAAAGUUUACAACCAGGCUUCAUCCUUUCCUAUCCAAAAAGACAAACAAAAUAAGGAAAAAGCUUGUCCUCCCCAACAGUUGAGAAACUAAUAAUUGCUUGACAACAGCCAUCAUUUGAAGCAUUUAUUUGUUUAGCAGAUAUAUAAUAAACUUCUUUUUCUUGAUUCAGCAGGAAAAUACAUUCAGAAAAGAAGAAGGACAACGUUGCUUGAUGUCAUGAGAUCAUUAUAAUUUGCAUUUAUAGUAAUUAUUAUGUUGGAGAAGGAAAGAAGAAACUAAAUUUGAAAGGAUAAACAUGGCCAAAAUGCUUGGAAUCCUCAUAUAUGUAGAGGUGCAUGGACAAACAAUCAACUAAUUAAGCGAUCUUCUUGACCUAACAUGACUAUGACUUUGAUGGAUCUUUCACCAUUUCAUUUCAUGCACACAAAAAGUACUUGCAUGCGACCAAGCAUCAACUACAUGCAUGCAGUAUCCUUCCUGACAAUUUGGAAUUUGGUGAGCAUGCAUGAAUCUAAUUUGCAUGCAUCGAAUUAGAUGCUAGAAUACAAUCACCUUGUAGAAGAAUAUGGAGGGCCUUCUUUGCACUUCGCUGCUAGAGAUCCUCCUUCAUCUUUGCAUAUCUACUGAUGCAACCCAUGUCCUUGAGACAAACAGAAGAAGAUACUAAUACCAUCAUCUUGAUCAUGGAACAUACAACAGAAAUAAGAUACAUGUAAUUAAUUGUAUUCUCCUCCUUCUCCUCCUCCACAAGGCUGUGAUUAAUUCAUGAGUAUCUGCAGAAGGAAACCCUCUUUCGAAAAGAAAAAUUAACAGACGACAUAGUCCAAACAACAGACUCCAUCUCACACCAUUGCUAGGGUUCAAUAAUAGAUAACUUGAGAGGAAACACAACAGAAGCACAAAUGAAGUAUAUAGGAUGGAAAUACUCUAGAAUAAGGCUCUUUGUUUCUCAUAUAUGUAAGCCAAGAAUAAAGAGAUCGGACCAAGACGCUUGAUUCCCCAAAGGAAGUCCGGAAGAGAAGGAACCGAUGCUCUCCAUGAGCUCUCAUGUCCAAGACAUCGUAUCCCCUCUUCUCCUCCUUUUUUAACUUGAUUAAGCUUUGCUUCCUUCUCCCACCAGUUCUACCAGGCUGAUGGGGGUGUAAUGAUGAGUGACCAAGUGAAAAGAAGAGGUGGAUGAUGAUGAUGGUGGUGGUGGUGGUGGUGGGAAGGCCAUGAUUGGUGUUGGGAGGAAGAGUGCGGAGGAGGAAGGAGAGACCCUAAGCGGCUGGUGAUGCUGGUGGUACCGCUGCUCCUCUUGCUUCCCAUGAUCACAUGGGAGAAGCAUCAUGAAGCCCAUAACAACCCUCUCCUCCCUCUGAAAAGAGGAUGCUGAUGUUACUCACCGAGUUACUCUUUCAUGCUGGUUCUGACCAAUCCCUACGCCGAAGAAUACAUGGUUUUCCGUGCCAGCCUCAGUUAACAGCAACGUGUCACUGCGUGUUCUUCUUUUUUUCUGAGGCUAAGAGAGAGGGGACUGCAGCUUCAAAAAGACAAGGGCAGGUCACAGGUGGGUUGAGCUAAUGAUGGGCUAAGCAAAAGAAACUAAAGAAAGGGGGCAUGUUCAGGGAGGUGUCGCCAGAGAAAUGAAUCCUUUCUUAUCCUUCAAACCCUGGAGAUAUAUGAACGGUAACUGUGCAGUCCUCAUCGGUGUCACCUUUGUUUGGCCUUUGGGAAUAGGAAAAGCAGUAAAUGCGUGUACUCUUGGGAGCAUAUGUUGGCCAAAAUCCCAAUGCAAAGGUGCUAAAUUCAUCUUUAGCACAUGAAUGAGGAAAAACCCUCUGAGUUCAACAGUUGUUAUAUGAAGAGAAUUUGAAUCCACUGUUAGCAACAGCUGAACACUUGUUUCUAAGAGUUGACCUACCAAAGGAGAACAAGCAAAAAAAAGCAUGCACACACAGCAUCAACAUGGUUUCUUCUUCAGCUUUAGAAUUAAUUAGUCUCUACACAGAUGCAACAAGCAGGCCCUUAAAGUGACGGGAGGGGAAAGGCCUUUUGUAUCAAUUCUUUCAUCAGGAGGAGGAGUCCGGUGCUUAGAUUUCCUAUAGAAAGAUGUGUGGCAGCCCCACGUUGGUGACACUAUGACAUCAAUAUCCUGCAAAGAUCUUGUGCAGUGUGACAACACAACCCUUUCUUCCCUUCCUUUUUCUUCGCAUGCCAAACAAAAGGUUACAUGAGAUAAUAAUGAAUUUAAGUUGCAAGCGAGUUGGGCAUGUAACAUGGUCUGCACUAGAUGUCAACAGAUUGCUUUCGAGGUUUUGAAAUCGUCGACGUUGCUCCUUUGAGAUCAAUUCCACGUAAAAAGUAUCGAGCGCUGCAGAUGUUUCGGAGGAUCGACAAGCCCUAACGAGAGCUAUACAUCCAUCUAUCGUUGGUGUUUUUUACAGUGCAUACAUAUUUACUUGAAGAAGAGGGAAACAGUCGGGAGCAAGGAAACCCCAACUUUAGUUCUAUCGAUUAUUGAAGACGAUUAUGACCAGAGGGAGGCGAUGCAGCAAACAAGAAGACACUCGAACUCAAUGACGCCAUCAAUCUAUUUUGUUCCGUCCAAGUGUCUUUAUCUGUAUGGUGUCGAAUUGUUUGGGUGCGUGACUGCUUCAAGUUCCGAGCCUGAAGAAAAAGCUUUCCUUGGGUUUUGUCGUUCUUCAUACUAUAUUGUCAGCUUAUAAUUUGCCGGCAUCUGUGUCUGUGCCACGCUCUCGAUUCCGAAUGCUGCUGUGUGGUGCAUAACAGUGAAGUACAAUCCUGACGAGGACUGUUUCCGACUGCAUUUGGGCAUUAACAGUAAUAGCUCAUUAUAGAUGGACGAAAAGAAAGGUACGGUAUGGUGACCAAAAUCGAAGCUUGAUGACGAGGUCACGGCACAAACAUUCGUGGGGAUCGCCAUGCUCGUAAAGAUUCCGAGCCAUAUAGCACAGGAUUUCAUGAACGCUAGCUAGCACUAUCGAGAUCCAAGCUCAUUAACUAUAUUAAGCCUGAAACAUUAGUCUAAAAUGCUUCAACCCAGGUUGAUAGUAGCACACUAUUAAGAUCCUAAGAUCAUCCUAUCCUGCAAGUCGAUUCAAAUAUUUAUCCAUAUUGAAUCUGAAUUGGAAGUGGCUUAGAACGAUUAAUCUUGAUCAGGGGAAAGGUAGGCGCUUUCGGCAAUUUUGUCGAUGAUAUCUUUCCCGGCUUGUAAGCCCAAAUCCAGCACCCAAGUAGUUUCAUCCUGCCCCAUAGCGUAGGCCUUACAAGAACAGUAGCGAUCCAAUGAAAUAGGUGUCGAUCACGCUGUCGGUAAGAAUGAGUUCGAUAGACAUGGAUAGUGGAGUUUCCAAAGACAAAUAAAUAUUGUGAGAUUAAAUUGAAAUGUUCGAUAGAGUUUCUAACAGUUUAUUCUAAUGAAUUCGAAUUUCUUCUUUAUCAUUUAUUUUUUUAAAAAAUAAAAAUAAAUUUAAAUUAUAUAAAACACUGCGCUUAUUUUAUAAGACUAAAAAAAAAAAAAAAAGAGCAAUAAAAUAUAGCCAGAUGGUUCGGACACUUUCAUCAAUUUCAUGCAAUGCUAUGAGAGGAAAAGAGAGGAAGAAUAGUGGAUAAGAAAAGUAAUAUUAUUUGAUAGAAAAGUCAGUGCACAUUUAUAUAAGUCCAUCAGAAUCUACUUUUUAGAUAUAGUGAUAUUGAUGUUAAAAACAACUUCUUAUUGUUCAAAACUUAUCUAAAACAUGCUUAUAUGUCUCUUAUUAGUUCGAUUUUCGAGUAGCAAUCCGGUGGAGAGAGAACAACAAAUCAAGAACUGGAGGAGGAUGAGAACGGCCAUCAGAAUCCUUUAUGUCCAUCCCAUUGUUGCUUGGUUUAUAGCCGCAAAGUUGUUGGGCUUAAAUAGGAAUCUUGGAAUCCUAUAAAUCGAAGCAUCCCCAAUGGUAUAUAACAGGAGAUAUGUAUGCAUUAGAUUUAGCAGAGACGAAAGCUCAGAAGAAGAAGAAGAGCAGGGGAGGGUGGCAUCUCCUGACUCGAAUCACCAAAGAAUUCCUACAGUUUGGGGAAUGAUCGUAGAAAGAUUAUAUAUAAAUAUAUGAAAUCUCCGCAUUGGAUGCUUCAAAGAUCCGCCCACUUGGAUGUUUGGAUACCUGAAAGAAAGCUCACACGACGCUACUCAUCAUUACUUGUAUGGCUUUUGUGUAGUGGCCUCGUGCAAUCAAUGUAUCUGCAUCACCAGGGUCCAUCCAAAGCUUUUACUUUCGAGCACGAGAGCAUGCAGGCGAGCACCACCACCACCACCUCGCUCAACUACCCUGCGACAUGGAGUUCUUUCAGCAACCUUUUAAGGCAAGAAUGGAAUCGUCAACAUAGUCUCAGCUGCUAAGAAAAAAAUGAUCCUUUUUUCUCUUCGGUUAAUGAUUAAACUCACUCCGGGGGAUCCAUGGCAGCGGUUCUGAUGAUGACAUGAGUUGGUAACCAUGAAGGAGGUGAGAGUAGUGCCUAACACUCUCAACUUGCAAGUCUUCGCUGUCAUGAUCAUUCUUUUGCUUCCGGAUGCAGUUCUGAUCAGUUGUAGACAUACCAUAUAUAUAUAUAUAGACAAUCCAUUAAUCCAAAGAAUCAGGAGAACCGAGGCUUCGGCAUUAAGAGAAGGGCAGCAGCAAGCAGCUGCCUGCCGGAAAACAAGCAGCAUCGUAUAAGAUAGCUCGACAGACAGUCGGGCUUCUGUACUUGGAAGAAAGCCAAUUAUAAGACCAGAGCAUCAUGCUCUCCGACUCGCUUAUCACAAACUGUAGAGAUGUCAAAACUGGUUCUUCCUCCUCCAGAAUGAAACUACUAACUUAAUAAACUAUUCCUCCUCAAGAAUUAUGCACGAAAGCUACUUCAUACCUAAUCUCGGAGCUCCAUGUCUAGCUAGCAUUAAGACUAUUUGGAAAUAGAAGGCGAGAGAGGCCAACAAGCAAUCCACCAAACCCACAGCCGAUCUCAGCAAACCUAACUUCGUAGAGUAGGGAUAGAAAUCAAACUCGAGCAGGAGCUAUAGGGAUUGGAAAGUGGGAGUCGCCGAGAGAGAUUGCUGUGCGCUGGUGCUCGAGAGAAGCGUUUCCUGGGAAGGCUCGUGCAAUGUCAGUACUCGAUAAAUGUGGACACUCCUAGAACAAUGCUCAAGCUGUGGUUUGGUUCCUGGUAGGGAGUGCCUACCAACAUUUCAACAAGCGCCUCACUGGCAUUCGAGCUACUCCUGGAGAAUGAGCAGCUCAUCAGUGACCUGACAGAAGUCGGGAAGAUGCUAACCUGCGGUCUCGAGUGAUUUCAUUUUGCAGGCACAUCAACCGUGUCAUGUGUGGAAGAUGAAUUAAGUACAUGAACAAUUGCAUGAAACAAUAAAAGAGCCCCAUAACUGAGUUAUGCAGAUCUUUAUAGCACGAGAAUAAAGAGAUCAUAGUAAAUCAGAAAGAGUUAUUAGGCACAAGGAAGGGCUUGACAAAGCAUUUGGAUCUCAAGUGUUGAGGCAUCAUCACCCAACUCUGUAUUGUUCCUCAUCAGAUGAAGCUAUUGUGAACCACUCUAUAUUUUUACUUUGCAAGGUGACAACAGAGCCCGGACAUUUAUUCUUCUCAUGCACCGACUCCCAUGCCUUCCCUGCAGACCUGUGGCACAAGCUCCCAACCCUCGAGCCAUACCAUAAUGUCCCCAGAUUUGUCAGUUUGACCGAUGGUCAACACUGCAUUCCAACAACACCCAUCGCAUUUACCUGCUGCUGGAAUCUUCCUGCUGCCCACCAUGGCCGGUGGUGAAUGGCUGGUUGGCUGGCUGGCUGGCUGGCUACAGGCAAAAAGUUGUCACCCGACUCAGCACCACAAGAGAUGGUAAUGGAGUAAAUAGAGACUCGAGUUCACAUGGCUCUUGCGCAGGUUUUCUUCCCCCCACUUGAUCUAUUAUUAUAUCUGCUGGGGAAGAAGACAGAGGAGGCAAACGGAUUAAGAGUUACCGACUCCACCGUAAGGGUUUGAUUUGGGCAGAGUGCAAACAGUGUGAUGCCGGACCCCACUUUGACUGCACUUUGACUGGGCUUCGUCCUCUGAUUGGCCGGGAAUUCGAUGGUUCUCUGUUAACAUUUUGGUGGCAUUUGAACGACGACGACCGUCUGAUAUCAUCAUCAUAAGUAGAGAUUAGCGAACAUAUUAUGAUCGAACUGAUUUAGUAUUAAAUUACAGCCCUUUUGGUUCAAUCGAACUUUUUUUUUUAAUAGGGUUAUGAUAUAUUUUAUUUUUAUUUUAAUUAAUUUAAAUUUUAGUUAGAAUAUCUUUGAAUAGACUUGUAGUGUUUUUGUCACCAAAUUAAAACAUUAUAACCCUAAUAAAAAAAAUAUUAUAACUCAAUUUUAGUCAAUUAAAAAUUUCAUUAUCAAUAAAUAACUAUGGGAGUAUUAUAAACUUAUUAGUAUGAGAAUUUGAAUCAUUUUGGAUGAAAUUUAUGAUGGUUUAGUCCUAAUUUCAAACAAACCAUAAUAACAAUUCUAUUAAUUUUUUUUUUGUUCACUUUCUCUUAACUUUAGGUUAAAAUAUUUAAAAAAUCUUACAAUGUUUGCAAUCAUUUAUUAGGAAGGAAUGAUAAUGAGACAUUAUUGUUCCAUCACAAUACAUUCCAAUGGAGUUAUAGGGUUAUUUGUUUUAGUAAUAAAAAAUAUCUUCACCCUAUUCCAAAACACUAUAAAUCAAAAUUAAGGUAACAAUGUUCAAAUAUAUUAUAAACCAUAAUUAUUCAAGCCCAAAUUUUUAUUUUGACAGAUAACUAAGUGUUUAGGAUAUUUUGGUUUUCUUAUAAAUGGAAUUAGCUCUCUUUAUGAAAUAUAGAAAUGAAAAAAAAAAAAACCUUUAGAGAAUUCAUCUUAAGAUUUUUUUUAAUCUUUACCUAUAUUUAUGUCAAGUAAACUAUUAUUAGAUUAAUAUUUUGAUACUAAAAUAUAUAAAAUGUGAUAUUCAGACUUUACCACUUAUAUACAUAAUCGAAAAACUUACUUUCAUAUUUUUCUUACUAGAGAUAAUCAAUAUAUGUAGUCUUACUCUUAAAUAUUUAAAAAGAUUAUUUUCGUAACUCGAAUCUUCAUUAUCUAGAUUACAAAAGAUAUUUAGAACAGUAGAGCAUUAGAAAGAGUUUUUUUUUCUUCAAUAUUAUUUUUUGAUAAGAUAUCUAGAACAUUGUACAAUUAAUCUAAAACACUAUAUAGAUAUUAAAAGAUAUUAUAAUUGAUAUGAUCUUCUCUCUCUUAUGAUACUGUUUGUUAUAUAUAGGGUAUUAGAAGAUCAUAUUUGUAAGGCUAGGAGUCAGUUAUUAGGGUGAUUCAUAGUGUUUUGUACAAGUUAUUAGGUUGAUUUAUAAUCUUUUUUGUGAGGUGUCCAAAACACUAUAUAGCUUUUGAAAAAUAUUAUAAUUGACACCAAUGUCUAUCUCUUAUGAUAUUGUUUCUCGUAUAAUAUUAGAAGACUAUAUUUCAUAGCUUCUUCGUUGUGUUGGUUGAGAUUAUGUUUUAUAAUAUUCAAUAAGAUAUCCUAAAUCUCGAAUAUAUAUAUAUAUAUAUAUAUAUUCUCUUUUACUUGCAUACUCGCCUUAUCAUAAAAUAUAUACAUCGAAGAACGAAACCUCUUAUCAUUCUGUACUCCCUCUCUUCUCUCUCUCUCUCUCUCUCUCCACUGCCAUAUUCUCUUCUUCUCCCCUUCCGGCCUUCCCCAUCCCUUUUCCUCUCUCUGACUCGCUCUAUCCCAGUCUCUUUUUCUCUAUCUCUCUCUCUCUCUACGUUUUCCUCUAUCUCUCUGUGCGGGGGCUUUUGGUGUUCCGCGACGAUGGGAAAGCAAUGAGGAGACCAUGCCGUUCACGCCAUCAGACCACGCCUCCUGCGGCGACCUUUUGUGCAGGGAAGACGCUAGUGUACUCACCGGAGACUCGCCGGGCGGCGCCGUGGGUCUGGUCGAGUUCCCCGAUGAAUCGGAUGAAUCCAUCGCCGGGCUCAUAGCGGCGGAGACGGACUACUCGCCCGGGUUCGACUACCCGGACCGGUUCCGGUCCAAAUCGCUCGACUCGGUGGCGCGCCAGGAGGCCGUCGCCUGGAUCCUCAAGGUCCCCCGCCGGCGCAUGCUAUCUCGAUUCUGUAGUGAUUUGCUAUCUCGAGCCGGAUCCCCUUACCGUCGUCUGGCGGAAGUUUUAAGUGCUCUAUUGUUAUUUCUUUUCCCUUCUUUUCAGGUGCAUGUGUACUACGGUUUCCGUCCAUUGACGGCGUAUCUUGCCGUUAACUACUUGGAUCGCUUCCUCUCUUCUCACCGCUUACCGGUUUGUUCAUUCCCAAUGUUCUUCGCUCCUCUUCUCGUAAUUACAUUAUAGCUUUAUGUUAAUUCUUAAAAGGAAUGAGUUUGAGAUUUCCCGUGACUCGAGGAAUGACAAAUAACCAAUGCUAAAAUCUUUAUACAUCUUUGGUUGUUUUGCAGUUUCAUCUUAAGGAAACUAAGUUUGGCCACAUAAGGGAGUUCGAUGAGAAAGUAUGUAUGUUCCUAUGGAUUAUGGAUAGAAGGGUGGUUGUAGAUUCAUUAAUAUUAGUAAAACUUUUGGAGCCAUAUUGAAAAAUAAUUUUUUUUGUUUGUGCAUAGAGGAAAAAAAAAAUACUAUUAGUUUUUCUUUGUAGAGGCAAGAGUUGAAAAUGUUCUCCGAUUUGGAUGAUGAUGCAGUUUUGGCACAUGAGUAAAUAUGAGUGUGCAAGCCCCUGUUUUUUAUGCUUUCGACUUGGAUUCCUAAAUUUUAGGCUUCCUUCUAUGUACUAUUAAGACCCUAUGGAAAGGAAAGUGAUCAUUUACACUAGGUUAGAAGGGUUGGUUUACCUAACAUUUCUGGUCAGUCCAGAAAAAUUAGGGAAAGAACAGGAUUGGAUGAUGGAGAAUAAAUACUAGUCUUCUCAUCCACAAAGUUAGCAUUCACAUGUACUUUUUUAAUUGCUAACUUGGGGGUGACAAUGAUCCUAGCUGCAUCUGCAAACAUAAAAAUAGAACAAAAUUCAGCACAGUCUUAUUAGUUGUAUCAUGGAACCUUUUCCAUUAUUAUUAUUUUUUGUUUUAAGAAGAUAGGUUAUCUCAUACAUGUUCGAUCUGCCCAUGCAGCAAAAUGAAUGGGCAUUGCAACUUCUGUCGGUGGCAUGCCUCUCCCUGGCUGCAAAAUUGGAGGAGACCCUGCUGCCAUCCUUAUUAGACUUGCAGGUAAAAGAAACCUCAACACAUUUUAUUUGGUCAACUGUCUUUGCUAAUCUUCAUUUUUUUGAUUUGCUUAGGUUGAGGGUGCAAAGUUCAUUUUCGAACCUCGCACAAUUCUCAGAAUGGAGCUUCUCGUGCUCAAUGCAUUGAACUGGAGAUUGCGAUCUGUGACACCCUUCACUUUCAUUAAUUUCUUUGUUCACAAGAUCGACCCUGCAGGAAAGUAUGCAAGAUCUUUGGUUUCACGGGUCACCGAAAUUACAUUGGCAACAACGAAAGGUUACGUAAUUAUGAUUGUCAUUACAAUAUGAAUAAUUAAGAACUGCAUUCUCGAUUUAAGCUGAAACAUUUGGUGUAACAGACAUAAAGUUCCUAAGUCACCGCCCAUCAUCACUUGCUGCAGCUUCCAUUAUUUGUGCGACCGAUGAGGUUAAGGAUCUAACAUUUGUUAAUCCUGGUAUUGCAGCAUCGUGGUGCACCGGAUUAAUAGAGGUGAGAAAAAUUCAGUCUCGAAGUAGCUAAAACUGUGCAGCUUUGAUAGAAAAAAAGUAUACUAGGCUGCAUUUUUCUUUUUUAUAGGAAGGGAUUGCCGAUUGCUAUCAAUCACUCAAGCAAGUAAUUGUCGAUAUAACGAGGAGAGAGCCUCCAAUGAUUCUUCCGCAACUCAGAGUUGCCACCCCAAUGAACAUGGGGCCAAGUGUAUCAUCCUCUUCUUCCCCACCCAAUAAAAGAAGGAAGCUGAACAAUAAUUGCUGAUGGGUGGAUAAUGACAAGGAGAGUUUACAGGAAACCUGAUAAGUUUUUUUUUUUUUUUUUCCUAUUCUAGGAAGUGGGCUUCGUAAAAUCAGCUGCAUAUUUCUACAGUGCGUAGGCAAUUUCUUUUUUUUUUUUUGGAUUUGCAGAUUCCUCAUUAUUUUUCAGAGGAGUCUGGGGAUCUUAGUGAAGCAAUUAGGAUUCUGGUUUAUGAUUGUGUGUCUAACGAGGAAGUAAGCCGGGUGGAUGAUUAUUAUUUUUGGUUCUUUUUUUCUUGAAGUUCUUUCAUUUGUGGAUCUUUGCUAUCUUUAUAGGCUAUGAUAGCAAAGUGUAGCAGAUUCUCGAGGGAGGGGGAUCUGCCAUUAUUUUCUGGUGGUGAGAGUGGAGGGACAUGAUCUUGUUUGUGGAGGGUGUGGGGGCUGUAAGAAUCACAGUUAGCACUCAUUGCUGGAUGAAAGAGAUAUCAACUGAUUGGGUGUUUCUACAGCCGAGGGUGAGAAUGAGAUGGCAGUCAAAGAUGCGGGUAACCAGUACUACAUGUGAGCAAGGAUAGAUUCCAAAUGGCAGUUUGCUCCACAUCUGUUGUCGGUGGGGCCGAUGUCCUCCUCAGUCAGCCACAUCAGUAUGUAUUAUGGAGAUUGGUUUUCUUUGUUUGUGUGAUUGAUUGUUAAGGAUCUUUAAUGUAUUGUUUAGACAAUGCAUGUCAACCUGGAGAGGAUGUGUAUUCAUCUGGCUUCAGGCUGCACCCUCGAAUGAUGUCUUUUGAAGGUUGUGUUAUUCCAAAUCAAUAAAAGAAAAUUGAUACAUCUAUUGCUACCUUUUGGAAAAGCUACUCUACAGUUCAUGUUCCUAACUCUGCAACUGGAAAUGCCCAAAUCAGAGCAAUUAAUUUUUGAAUGAGAACAUAUCUGCUUUCAUGCCUUUUUUGUUAUCAUCGGUUGCUACCUUUUGCAGAUAUGAAUCAAAUCUUUUGUUGGAUAAUGCAUUAAGAUAUAUGAGCAGAAUCAGUCUUUCUGGCAUCAGUGAUUCUAUAAAAUGGUGAAGGUGAGUUAAGUGACAUCAACAUCUCGUUCCAUCCAUAUGAUAUAUAUAUAUAUAUAUAUAGUACUCGUAGGAAAUGUGGCAGUCAUUCUAUAAAAUUAGGAGAAUUGAGUAGUGAGAUGUUUCAGCAGUACAGGAGCCCACUUGUUGAUGGAGUGGUGAUUGCCAGAUUCUUGCACUGUAGGCUAAUGUCCUUGCAGCAUCGUUUUGUAGGAGAGGCAGAGUGGAAAAGCACACAAAAGUAUGGCUCACGAGCCAUACAACCAGACGUUCCCAAGAGCACUUUAAAGCGCAGAGAGAGAGAGAGAGAGCGAGAGCAGCUUUACUCCCUUUCCUGCUGUUUCCUGCUUUGGCCUUGCCUGAAGAGACUCAUCUUCCGUGAGCAGGAUACAUGGCCAGAGAGAGAGAGAGAGAGAAUAAUGGAAUGGUAAUGGGGGACAUGGCAUCAGAUUGGGAUGGAAUACAUCCAAACAAUACAGCUCAAUGAGUGCGGUACGGAGCAAAGGCAUCUCAUCUGGCCUCCCGCCCGCGCCUCCUCCUUCUGCUGCUGCUGCUGCUGCUAACGAACUCAUGGUCUUGGCCAUGGCCGAUGCUGCAAUUUCGAGUUGGGACCAUGGCUGUUGUUGCUGGCGGCCAACCUGCAAUCUUUGGCAUGGCUCACAUUGUCACGUUCAUUAGACAGACAGAGAGAGAGAGAGAGAGCGCGCAUCAGUUCUGGUACCUCUGGUUCAGAUAAUAAUUUGGGGAAGAAGAAGCUUUUGCUUCUGGUUUCUGUAGAUUAUACUGUAGAAAGCAGCAAUUUUGAGAAGUUCAAAUACAGUGAGAUUGUUAAGAACGUGACAAACGAAUCUACAUGAUAGCCAUAAUCGGCAUUUACCUUACAAGGGAAGGGAAGGGAAGGGAUCAAAAAGAUAUAUUCUUUCAGAUACAACGUAAGUAGUAAGCAUAUGGUUAAGAUUUUUUUUUUAAUUGUUUUAUAAAACAAAUUAUCAUACUAGUUUCGAUCAUCACUGCAAUAUAAUGCAUCAAGUCAACUCAGUCCACUAAUUAGUUAUUAGUUAAAAUUAAGUGGGACUAAUUACAUAUUAUCCCCACUAAUUAGUUAUUUUUAGUAUUUCGAUUUUUGUACUUUGAAAAGUUACAUUGAGAUUCUAUAGUUUUACGAAAAUAAAAUAUUUAACUCAUUAUUCUAAUAAAAUCUCUUAAUUUUUAAUAUUAUAAAAUUAUAUUUUAAACUCUAUGUAGAUAUUUCAAUAUUUCACUAUCGUUAUUAUAGGAAUUCCAAUAUAACUUUUGAAAUUGUAAGGAUUAAGAUAUUAACGACAACUAAUUACAAGAGAUAAUAUAUAAUUAACCUAAAUUAAAUCAAACUAUCACAUAAUUCUACGAAGAAGUUUUAUUUUACUAUUUUAAUUGAUCAAACAAUCUUGAAUUAUUAUAAAAUUUUAUAAAAAAACUUAAAUAUACAUUUCUUUUUAGCUUAAAAUAAAAUCAUUUGAUGUACCUCAAUCUUAAAAAUAAAAAAAAUAUGAGCAUAUCAUUUAUCAUAUUUAUAAAAUAUAGACAUCAUAAAAUCAUAUCAUUAAAUGAGGAUAAUUUAUAUUUUUACUGGUAUGUUAACAAGUGUCUUUUGUAAUACUUUGAUAUAGAUAACCUGUUUUUUAUUAGAAAAACAAAAAAGAACCAUCUGACAUAUACCAUGGUCAGUCUUUAUUCCUAAUAUAUCUAUUAAAGGAGAACAAGGAAUAAUGUCCUUCUAUCUAAUACUAAGCUGUUCAUCUUUUUUCGAAUAUUUAUCUCAAAGGCCUAAUCAUCUAACGGGGCUAAGGCUUCUUCUCAAUCAUUAUUAUUAUUAUCAUUAUAUAUAUAUAUUAUUUAUUUAUAAUACUAGAUUAGUUUCAUAUCAAAAAUGAAUAAAAAUUAUGAUCGAUACAUAAGAAGAAUCGGAUGAAUGUAUUAUUAUCGAUUUCAAUUUAAAUAUUUUAAUGAGCUAAAUCUAGAUGAUAGGUUUAGCCCAAAUCACUAGCAAAUAAGACAGAUUGUGUCAUUAUUAACAACAAAGCAAAUAAGAGGAAAAUGGAAACCCUAAAUUUUGUCUCCAAACACUUUCCUCAAGACAAGCACGAACGUGUAAACUGGAGUUAGAAGUCACAGCCGAGGAGGACUUGAGCGGUGUUUCGUUGUGUUCAUGUCAUUAAUGGUGUUGCUCGAUACAUUUGUUAGGUAAACUAAUGCACCCACACCCAACCGUGUGAUCCGUUGACCAAUGAAAAGUUGGGUACUUCUUCCACUGAUACUUUCUGCUACACCUCUACCGAUGGUUACUGUCGAUGCUGCAAACUAAACUGUGCUUAGCAUUUUGGGACGUGGCUUUUCUAUCCAGGUUAUCGACUGUUGGAAUUCCUGGAUGGAUUGGAUUGAUUAUAUCGUUCUUGCUUGGCAUUAUCCUCCUCAGAUGUGCUGUAUCUUUGGUUAAAAGAUUAAAGAUACCAUGGUGACCAAUCUCAAGUAAACUACAGCUCUUGGAUGCAUAUAGUGACAUCAACGAUUGCGCUUUGAAAGAUGUUGCCUCCGUUGAAAGGAGAUUAAUAUUUUGCCAAGUUAACCGGAAAAGAUGUUGCCUCCGUUGAAAGGAGGCUGGCUGCAAAGAGAAGCUUCUUUGAAGGUAAUAAUGAAUAUGGAUGGACACACUAUGAUAUGACAACAAUGUUCAGCAAUGGUGACAACUGCAAAGACAAGUUUUAUGGGAGCUCUGUGGUAGGUGUCGAGGUUGAGUCCAUAACAACAAUGUUCGGCAAUGGUGUCUCUUCCCAGUUUUGAUUUGGUAGUGAAACCAAGGUUGAUGAUGAAGGCAACUCCGCCACCGGUUCUACCUACCUACCAUGAGAAGCAAACCAAGUUUCCAUACAACCCAAGGUCACUCGUCCUCUGCAAUUUCCUCAUCAGUUGAGCUAACGAGGGAAGAAGCAGGUUGAGAGUGGUUGUGCCCACCCUUCUGAAUACUCCACAUACCUUGGGCUCCCAUGCCAUGUCCAUUAAGAUGGUUCCUGCUCUCUCUCUCUCUCCCUCCCUCCAUGCCAAUGCUCCACUGCAGCAAGCAUGGAGUGGAGUGUGAUCCAGAGGAAGGUCGGCCCUCUGCUGUGGCUACUGGUCAUCUCCACCAUCCUUGCCCUCUUCAUCAUGCAUUCAUCCUCCACUUUCAGCAUCAGCAUCAAAGCUGUUCUCACCCAAAGCCCUCUCGUCACCACCAGUGAUGUCUCAAACCAAAGCCCUUCUCUCCCUGCUAACACCAGCGGUGUGACGCCAGUGCACAACAGUUCUUCCUCCCCACAACUCUCCGCUGGUAACUUCACUGCACCACAUUUCUUCCACUGCUCGGCAGUGUCGAUGCAUUAUGAUGGUAACUUCCUUCUUCUGUCGGUGCAGAUGGCAACGAAGAGCAAUGCGACACAUCGAAGGGCAAGUGGGUGAAAGAAGCAGGAGCAUCGAUCUACACCAACCUGACAUGCCCGACGUACCCUGAUAUCAAUAACUGCGGCAAGUAUGGCAAGGAUCAGAGCUAUUUGUAUUGGAGAUGGCAACCGGAUAGUUGCGACAUACCGAGGUUUGAGCCCGAGACGUUCUUGAACAUAGUUAGAGGGAAGAAGAUGGCCUUCAUCGGAGACUCCCUGGCCCGGAAUCAGAUCGAUUCUUUGCUAUGCCUCCUGUCUCAGGUGAUAUCUUAUGCCUUCAUUGCUGGUGCUAAUUCGACGCCCGAGAUUAACUGAAGCUACGACUACAACAUGAUGUGCUACUUGUGGUGCAGGCAGAGACUCCAAGGGAAGUUUCCAGGGAUUCAAUUGGGAAAUACGUGACAUGGUACUUCCCACCGCAUGAUUUCACCCUCAUGGUCAUGUGGACAGAGUAUUUCGUAGAAGCGAGACCGAGAAUCAUAAAUGGAACAGCUUCAAACUCAUUUGAGAUUCACCUGGACAAGGUGAGCACCAAUUGGGCAGAGAAGCUUCCUGGUGUAGAUUAUGCCGUCCUCUCCGGUGGCAACUGGUUCUUCAGAGGGAUCCAUUUGUAUGAAGAGGGAAAGAUGAUCGGUUGCAUCAACUGCAGGGGGCAAAACCUGACAGAGUUCGACGUCACUGUGACCAUCAGAAGGGCGCUCAGAACAGCCCUGCAGUACAUAAGUUCAUGCAAGGAUUGUGAAGGGCUUGUCACCUUCUUGAGGACCUUCACAUCGUCACACUUUGAGAAUGGCUCUUGGCUCACCGGAGGAUACUGCAAUAGGACUCGGCCAUUGAAUGAGACUCGGAUACUCCUGGAUGAUAUCGCCUGGGAGAUAAGAAAGAUUCAGUUAGAAGAGAUCGAGAGAGUAAGACGACAAGAGAGCGGAGGGAAGAUGAGGUUUGGGGUAUUGGAUGUCACCAAAGCUAUGAUGCUGAGGGCUGACGCGCAUCCUGGGGAUCACUGGACCAAGAAAUCGAAGGCGAGUGUCAAUGACUGCUUGCACUGGUGCUUGCCUGGGCCUAUCGAUAUGUGGAGCGAUCUACUGCUUGCGACUCUCGAGAAAAAUUUUCUACCUUCUUAGUCGACUAUUUUGUACAUUUUUUAUCAUUCAUAUUCAGUAAAUUCCAUAACAUUUAAGAGUUUGAAACAAAGAAGUUAUCAAGGAAAACAUUCACAAGAAAGAAAUGGAUUCCGAAACACAACACUCCUACUAUUCACACUGUGUCUUGAAUUGUUUGUAGUAUCUCGAAUGACAUUAAAAAAAAAAUGGCAAAAGAAAUCUUCAAUCGGAUGCUUAACAUACAAAAACCUGUUCCUACGAAUCUGAGUUCUUCACAACAUGGUUUGUUUAUACUCUCGUAUUGGCGCAUAUGAUGAGUUGCAGCUCCUUCACACACUCUGCCAUGGAUGGCCUCCCGCUGCUUUCCAUGCGGACACAGCGUGCGGCAAGGCUUACAAACAUGGAGAUGGAGUCCAUGGUAUAUGAGCUUUUAGCCAUGUCAGGAUCAACCACUUUUCGCAGUUUCUUUCGAUCAUUUAAUAGACGUCGAACCUAGAACAUGUAAGCCUUCAUGAGCUUACUGCAUUUACCCGUAGGUUAUCUAUCCUACAAUUCAAAGUCCUGUACCUGUAACAGAAGAUUUUGUUCACAAGGACCCCGGUUGAGUUCUACUGCUGUCCGACCGGUCAACAGUUCAAGCAGGACGACGCCAUAGGCGUAGACAUCACUCUGUAAGGUGAGCUUUCCUGUCUGUAAAAAUUGAGGAAAUCUUAUUAGAAGACGAAGCUUUCUGUAGGUGUUGCAGAGUUAGUUAUUAGAAAGAAAGCACUGUAUAACUAAAUAUACAGAAGGAUUAGUUAAGCAUUUUUUUUUUGUUUACUGUGGAAUCAAACUUGAACAUGUUUCAAGUUGGAAAGUAUUCAAAGCAAUAAAAGAAAAAGAAAAAACUUGAACAUGUUUCUUCUUUGAAAUUUGACUCUCUUCGGGGAAGAGUGCUGAACAUAAACUGCCUUGCGGACAUUCAUGUCAUUGUAUCCGAAUUUAGAACAUUAAACAACAUCGAUCGUCUUCAUUUGUUUUCGAAAGGAUUAGCCACCUUCAUGACACUAAAGCGUGAGAUGAUUGCCUGCCUUUCGAAAUACCGAUUAUAAAACUGGGCGGCGGAAAACUCAAUUCUGAUACAUCAAUCUAUUUUAAUUGGAAGAAAGCAUGAAGCAGGGUAGUUCAGAAACUGUAGUAAGAGACUGCAGCAGAGCUUAGAAACUAGUUAUGAAUCAUAAUUCACUAAGAAAUCAAGAGGAAGUGGAUGCAUACCAAUGCAUACUCAGGAUCAAAGUAGCCAAAAGUACCUAGGAGCUUUGUGGUUGCAUAUAUAUCCUCACCGUUUGGCAUUAGCUUAGCAAGUCCAAAGUCAGAAAUCUGAGGAGUCGAGCAAUCAUCACAGUCAUGCCAUGCAACACUGUAGCACCACAAGUUGCAUCAGAUUCGUAAUUCGUGGAUACUUAAUCUCUUCAUUACCUUGGCCUCAAAGUAUUCAUUCAAGAGAAUGUUGGUAGAUUUGAAGUCUCUAUGCACAACAGGAAUACCAGCAGCAGAACUGGAAUGGAGAUAAGCCAAAGCCCUCGCUGCUCCGAGUGCUGCCUUCAGCCUCAAAGCCCAGUCCAUCUUUGUUUCCCUAAUUCCUUAUGAAUGGACGGGAGAAAUUUGAUUAAGAAUGAUGUUCAUACAGAACAGAUUAAGAUGAUACUGCAACUUAAUGGAACCAACCAUUCAAAUAAUCUUGAAGGUUUCCAUUUGGCAUGUACUCGUAGACGAGAAACCUAUCCUUCCCGUCGGCACAAUAUCCGAUCAGUGUUACCAAAUUUGGAUGUUCCAGUCUGCUCAAGAUGUCUACUUCUACUCGGAACUCGCGUUCACCGUCGGUUUGUUUAUAAGGAGGUAAAUCCAUCUUCUUGAUCGCAACAACCUAUAAAUCGUUCGAUACAUGUCAGUAUGAGAAAGCAUCAAAGCAGGUGUGUGCCGACUCGCCAACAGUCCUUCUCUUUGUUACUUCACUGUCUUAGAAAACUCAGAACAAAAUUAUCGAGAACCAAAAUGAUCACAUUUGACAAAUAGAAAACGAAUAUAUAAACUUGUCGAUUUUGAGGUGGUGAUGCAUGGAAUCAAAGUGGAAAUCGGUUAAUUUCUCCAUGACGAACAUGAAACAAUUCGAAGCGAGCGAAAUGACGGUGUAAACAGGGGAAAAUGAUGUGUGUCGUUCCUACUGGCAUAGGAAUCUGAAAAUGAUGCCUGAUCUUCCAUGAAAACAAUGGCGAUACUCACGAACCUCUCCAUUCCUGAGAAUUCCCUUGUACACCCGGCCAAAUCCUCCUUUUCCGAGCAGGUUCUCUUCAUUAAAUGAAGAUGUUGCCUCCUCCAUUUCCCUGAGAGUGAAAACAGAUGAGCAAUUGCGCCUUCCGAAAGAGGGUUUUUGUCCUUUAAGUUGCCAAUAAUCAACAGGCUCAUAUAUCCCUGUCAAGAAAUCAAGAGAUGAAGAGAUUCGUUUCGAGAAGAACCAUCCUUCUUAAAAAUCAACAAGAAAAAUGAAAGAUAUCACGUACAAGGGUCCAUAUGAUCGUGGGAUUUGCUUCUUCUUCUCUUGUUCCAUGCUGAAACAAUGUUGAAAGGCAUAUCGACCCCUCGAAAAAUCUGAAUCAAACUGCAGAAUUCCUGAUUUCAAGAAAAGAAUUAGCCGACCGUCAGCUAAAAAACCAAUAUAGUAAGUAUCAUAUAUACAGGACUCGAGUAUCAAAACCGCAAACAUAUUAGGGACGUCAAAAACAGUGCAAAAAACACUUCAAAAAUCAGAAGAUGAGAAGAUACUAAUCGGGAGAAUGAUAAAACGAUCUUGGAACAAGAAUGACUUGCACAAGGAGAAAUCCAACUAAAUCAUAAAAGGAAAACAAGAAAGUAAGCAACGUAACAUUCAUCUCGCGGAAACAACAACAUGGAAGUUGCCCUUAUUCCCGGCAAAGAACCCGAGACCAAAGCUCAAAGCAGUCAAAUUGACCGUGGCAAUGCCCACGCACCUCAGGUGGGAAACGCAGAGAGGCAUCGGCUUUGGCAGGGGAAGGCUGCUGCAAUUCCCUGAGGGGGGCCUGAAGGAGAAGGGAGAUAGAUAAGGGAGAAGGCUGAUGCAGAGUGAGACCGGGAAGAAAGGGACGGGUUAGACCCAGGAGGACUCGCUUGGGAGUUAAGAAUGAAAGGCAAGUGAGGGUGGGAGAGCAAACAACCACCGAGUCACAGUUCCGGCAAAAAGGAGUAAAGAGAAGAGAAGGGAAAGGAUAGCAAGGAAAGCAAAGAGUACGUGCAGGAUAAGCAAAGUAAAAGGCAGCAGUGGUGUCGAAAGAGAAGGACGUUAGUUUACGGAAGAGAGGUGGCGGGAAAAGAGGACAAGGAAAGGAGAGGGGAGUUUGACCGUUGCACACGGUUUGGAGCACCGGGUGGUGAGAGCUGGUGAGAGGAAGCUUUCAGUCACUCGCCUGUCCUGAUGUCAUCUGUUAUUUAUUAAUAUGUAUUGUUAAUUCUGAUUAUAAUUGAUUUUAGGAAGGUGAUGUGAUCUAUUGCUGAUUCUUGUACUCGAUUCAGACUAUAAUAAUAAUAAUAAUAAUAAUAAUAAUAAUAAUAAUUAUUAUUAAUAGAAUCUAUUUGAAUAAGGAUAAACCUAAUGCAUUCAGAGUUGCCACCCACUGUGCAUAAAGCUAAGUUGGCCCCAUUUAUGUACUGGAUGUGUAUGGAAAACAAAUCCUUUUUUUACUUAUCUUUGCUUUUUGUUCCCAAAAGAUAAGACUAUCAUCAUCAUCUUCAUCAUGCAUUGGUUCCCCUACAAUCUUUAUAGCUGAUGGAAUGAAAUCAAUUCGUUGCCACCUGCUACAAUCAUGUGUGUCAUCAUUGAUUGAUACUUGAUGAUUUCGUAUGAUUUGUUUAACUAGUUCGUAUGAUUUCUCUUGGGAGGGAUGGAUGAUUUUGUAUCCACUGGUCAGUAGCCGUAGUUUCUGUCGAGACAUCCGAGAAGGCGAAGAGGAUGUGCAUAUGAUGAUUCUUGUCUUCCCAGUGUGUGUCUGAAAUGGAUAAUACUCCGGAGUCGAUUAGAGAACGCUGGUCAUCGAUGUGCUCGUGAUACAUAUACAAUGCAAGUUCAUGAUUGGAAAAUGGUUGUUUUGUGAAUGAUCGAUCAUAUUAUUGAUGGUUCUGGUUUGCGGCAAAGCACCCAACUCAGGUAAAUGUGCAUUCUUGCAUGCAUGGUGGCAUCAUGUUAUCAAUUGCUUGUGCAUCAAAGACUCUAAGCUCACAAUCUCCAAUCGAGGAGGGCAUUAUCCAUUGAUUUACUUUCGCAAAAAAGAAAAAUCUGCUGCUUGUUUCUCCGCAUAAACAGCAUUACUGGGUUUCAGAAACACAAGAAUUAACAGAUAGUAACUUUCUGCUCGACUGCCAUAUGGUUGUCAAGAUUUGGAAGCAAAUUAUUGGGUUCCAAAUCGCAAGAUAAGAAAGAUUUUGGUAAUUGGAAGUAGAGGGGUGCUGCUUUUGUUCUUUAAUUCCCCCUAUUUCUCUAUUGAAUAAUGGGAAUCCAUUCGAUCGGUGGGGAAUGCACAUGAGAGCCAUCUUCUCCUGGCUAUUAUUCUUAAUCAUAGCAGCUAAGUUGGUCUGCAAAAACAUGUUGCUUACCGUGCCAUUAAGCAUUUCUGUUUUGUUUUAUGUGUUGUCGAAUGACUUCAUAAUUCUUCUUCUUCUUCUUCUUCUUUGCUUGUAUGUGUAAAAAUGAAUCCAUACUUUGAUUUGAUGUAAAAUGAAUCCAUCUAAUUAUAUGUACCGAGGAUUAUUAUUAUUAUUUCUCUACCAAAACCAAACUUUGAAGCAAUAAAAUAGUUGCGAUUCUUGACUGUGUUGUGUUUACAGAGAGUGAGCCAUAUGACUUCAACAUUCUAACACUGGGAAAAUAGUUUAUUGUUGGAACUGCAUGCAUGCAAGGUUAGCAGCAACACACGUCGAUCGGUACAUGGAUAGAUAGAUAUGUAGUGGAGCUUCCAAACCCUCUCCCUUCCUUUGUUCUUCUCACCCAACACUUUCACUUUGGGGAAAUGCCUGCUAUACCUGUUAGACAACAGCCAAGAAACAUAUAAGGAGUCUCCAAGCAUGCUUCUCAUUAUUGGACGGUGGGUGGGUAUAGUGUUGAUUGUCUCGUUUCUUCCUUUACUCCAAAGAGAAGCAUGGAAUAACAGGUCAGGUUGCCAUUGCCAAAGUAGCAUCAUUGCGAGUUAUUGGUUGCUAUAAAUCUGAGCUUUUUCUUAGGGACCAGCAAAGUUAGGUUUACUGGAACCUUUAAUAUUUGUUAGAGGCUAAAUCUAAAUAUGAAGCCUUAUAUGUUAUCAUUAAUUAUAAACCAAAAUGAUUAGAUAGCAUGUAUAUUUUACCUAUAUGUAAAAAUGAAUUGAACCUGAUGUUUAUUAUUUUGCCUUUCAUAUAUACAUACUAACUAAGAGGCUUCUCUUUCUCUUUGUUUUCUUCUCCUUGUUUGACUCAAACUCAUACUCUCUGAUCCAUGAAGAAAAGGCAAAAAGUUGACAGGAAGAUAUUGAUGAUUCCCACAUUUCCUGUCUCUCUAUAAAUCUGUCUGUGAAAAGUCAAUUCCAUUAGCUGGAAUAUCACAGAGUAAUUGAAAUCAUUCUCAUUCUCAUUUCAAGUCGAAAUAAUUCAAUGCAUAACACAACCAAAAGAACUCUAGUAUGAAGUAUCUUCAUGCCCACGCAUGGACCAUGAAAAAAACUAAAAAUCAUCAUCUAUAUGUCCUAAAAUUGAUGAUUCCUUGAUUUCCAUACGAACAUAUAUAAAGGAACAGAGACACAUAGAAACAAAGAAAAGCUUUUAAAUUUCUGCAUACGAAUCCAUAAGAAAGAUUGGUCUAUCCAUCUUCCACACAGAUCUGGCACCAACUCGAAUGCUAAGUUCUCAGCAGAAAAAAGUAUGUUAAAGAGGGAAAAGGAAUGACCUCAAAGAAGACAUUAGACCUUCUCUCUCUCUCUCUCUCUCUCUCUCUCUCUCUCUCUCUCUCUCUUUUACACAGAUCUUUAGAGAGAGAGAGAGGGUAGAGAAAAAAAAUCAAGACCUCUUCCAGAAUUGCAUGCACAUAAUCUGCUUCAUAUGAUGAAACAAAAGUCAACAACUAUCUUAGGCACAUUAAGUAAACUCAAUAUGACAGAAUUUAAAGGGAAAGAAUUAAGGAAGCAUUUGAUCUUAAGAUCGUACAAUAUGAAGCAGCUAAUCAUCCACAACUAAUCAAUCAAUUAAGCUGAAAACUCCAUGAAUCAAAAACCGCUGUAAUUGGAACAUGUAUUAUAUUCCCUUAACUCCAAUACUAUUACAGCCCACAUCACCAUCCAUUUAUAUGCAUAUAGCUCAUGGCAGGUACAACUUGGAAAGCUCUCUCAGGACAUGCACUUGCAGCCUCAGCAGGAAUAUAUAGUCGGCGGUGCGCAGGAAGAGCUGCUCCGGCUGCAACCGCCUUCCGCCGGGCACAAGCCUCUGCAGCGUCCUCACCUUCCUCUCCACCGCCGCCGCCGCCGCCGCCGCACGCGAAGGCCGCCUCCCUUUCCCUCGGCGGCUCAUGCCACAGAUCCCAUGGCGUGUGGAUCUGUUCAACCUAUGGAAUCCAGCCUGUCUCCACCUUGCCUCCUCUAGCCAUGCCUUUCCCAUAAGAAAGAAGAUGAACGAGAGCAAUGUGGCUUGAAGAAAAGAGAGGACGAAUGAGCCUAUAAAUGAAGCGUGAAGGGAGGAAGAUAUAUAGAUAAGAAUUGACACAGAGAGAGAGAGAGGAAAGGAAGCGAUGCUGCUAAAAGCCAUGUUAGAUAGCGGGGGCGAAAAUUCCAAAGCAUGGCGGCAUUUUGUCGUUUAGCUGGACGUGGGCUCAUGACAGAGGCCGCGGCAUUUCCGGGGCACGUGUCUGACAGCUCUGGCACGUGGGCCGGAGAGUGUGACGUGUUGUUCUACUGACAACUGUGCCGAGGAUUUGACUGCAGCCGCUCCACGUCAAUUGUGCCCGGGUUUUACUGCGUGCGUGCAUGCAUGCAUGCAUGCAUGCG
rnacentral:lncRNA from 1 species